AUUGUUGUCAACGUUUGUGAGUUAUUUAUAUAUGUAUCAAAUUUCUGAAUUUGAAAGUAUUAUGAAUGAUAUCAAGUUUAUAUUAUUUGUAAAAAAAAAAAAUCAAGUUUAUAUUAGUGUAUUCUGACUAAAAAAAUUACAUUUGUGUAUUUUAAUUAAUCACUUUAUUGAAUUUGAUUACUAUACACUACUCCCUCCGUCCCAAAAUAUAAGUAAAAGUGGGUCAACAAAAGUGAAUGUAUCUGGACUAAAUUUUAAACCAAAUUCAUCAACUUUUGUUGACCUAUUUUUGCUUAUAUUUUGGGACGGAAGGAGUACUUAACAUUAUAAAAAUUCUAUCUUUUAUUGGGGAAGAAAGGUUCUCCUUUGAACUCACAUCCACUCAUUCUUAAAUGCAAUCAAAAUUUGGACACCUUAUUAAGAUUUUCCAAUGAAUUGAAGUCCUCAUCAUUACGUACUUUGCCAUAAGAUUGAAGGCCAUCUCCAAAGACUCGACAAAUUAGAAGGGCACUACAAAAAUUGGGGUUUGUAUAUAACACAGAUUUAGACAGUUCAUUAUGUUUUUUCAAGGGUAAGUCAAAAAAACAAAAACAAUAAGAUACACUAAUGCAUUAUAGAAUGAGGUACAUAUUCAAGAUUGUCUCUUCCUUAUAAACAUUCAUUAUGUUAAGAUGUCUCACAUUGGUUGCGAGAUGACCUGAAUAAGUGUUUAUAUACUAGAGUCAAUCAAGCCGGUUUUGUAAGAUGAGUUAGGCCCAAUUUCUAAGAUGGUAUCAGAGCAUCUCCACGACCCGUUGGACCACCUAUUAUCAGGUUUCCGCCAUCGGACCACUCACCGUUUAUAUCCACUCAUCAAGCCCAAUAGUGCUGGGCGUGAGGGGGUGUGUUAAGAGUCCUACAUCGGUUGCGAGAUGGUCUGAAUUGAUGUUUAUAAACAAGAGGCAAUCCUCACCUUACAAGCCGGUUUUGUAAGGAUGAAUUAAACUCAAUUUCUAAGAACGAGUAAUAACAAUAAUAACUUUAGUGAAUAUUCUAAUACAUAAAUCCUAUGAAGAAAUUCAGGGAGAAAUGUCUUAAAUGGAGGAGCAAAAAUUGAGUGUUGGAGGAAUUUUGCUCUCCCCUUCUUCCUUCCCUUCCAUCUUAAAAAUUGAAUCAAAUAAAUAAGAUUUAAAAUAUUAGAUUUUCUCUCCCCCAAAAAUCCCUAACCAAACACACUCUAAAGGAUCAUGAUGAUCAUCAAACCACCCUAACCAAAAGUGGUAAUCCUAAAAUUGAAAGCCUUCCAUGAUGGGAUUUAAGUUUGAUUUGUCUUUGUUUGCAUAUUUAACCCUUUAUUUAUAGCUUUAGCGACGUUUGAAUUUGUGUUGUUUUCAAUGUUUUUACAAAUUUAAGUGAAUGAAUAUAUUUUUUUAGUAAAAACAAAUCACUUACACAUGAAAAAAUUAUAUCGGUUUUGUGUUGAGUAUCCGAUAAUUUCCAAAAAAAUUAUAACAUUUGUGUCCUUCAAAAAUACACUUCCAAAAUAUCUUGUAUUUUCAUUUUUAAAAAUAUAUUACUAUUCCAUUUCCAACAAUAACCUUAAAAUAGUUUAUGUUGUAUUGAAUUCAACAUGAUCUCAAAAUAACCCCCAACAAACAAAUAAAUCAACUUGCAAAAUAAAUUCAAAACAUAAUUGUCAAAAAUAAUUACUCUAACCACCUUUCCUUUUGUUACGCACCAAAAGAUCCCCAACCUUUCUACUAAAAAAUUUCUACUAAAAAUUAUAAGGUCUGUUCAAAGGGUAACGUUGAGUUAAAAAAAUCAAAGGGUAACGCCAACUAUUUUUUAUGUUGUUUCUACAUUACUCUUAAACAAUACAGUAGAUGAAAAAAAAAUUGGUAGAAUAGUAAUCACCCUAUAUUUUUCAUUCUCACGCAAAACCAUCAUAAUUAAUUCAUUUUCUCAUUUAAGAAAAUCAAUAGUGCUUCAGUAAAAAAAAUAUAAAAAAAUAGUGCUAUAAAUUGGAGUGCUAUGAAGCCAAUUUCCUUUCAUGCAAGACAAUAUUAUGAAUAAGAAGAAAAUAAAAAUACUCAUUCAUAUAUAGUAACUAUGGCAAAAAUCACUGCUUCACUUGUUCUAGUUGUCCUUGUUAUGGCUUUCGUUCUGAAUUGUUGUAGUGUUGACGGUGCAGGAAGAGGUAAUGAACUAGAGAAAAAUGGAGUUGGUAUUCACAACUCUCAAAAGCUUUGGUGGCUGCUUGAUUGUUUGUUUUUGUAUAAGAAGUGUGCAAUUGAUGAUUUUAAAAAUUGUCCUAACUACUAUAAUAGGUGUCUCGCCAGCAAACACCAACACCGGUGAUUAGGGUUUGUGAUGUUCGUUGGCUUAGUUCGGUAUGUCGUUGUUUCGGUGGGGUGGACGGUGUGUUGCUUUCCCUUCGAUUUGCUUGGUUUAGUUUUCAUGUUGGGGUUGCUAAAUAAGGUGGGGUUAUGGCCGCAUGUAUGUUUUUCUCUUUGAUGUUUUUAUUAGCUUUUCCUUUUUUUGUUGCUAUGUUUCCGUCUUAUUUUCUUUGUUCUUGUUUGUGAGGGUUUAAGCACGCCUUUGUACUAAAAAANNNNNNNNNNNNNNNNNNNNNNNNNNNNNNNNNNNNNNNNNNNNGUUUUCAAUGUUUGUGUGUUAUUUAUAUAUGUGUCAAAUUUAUGAGUUUGAAAGUAUUAUGAAUGAUAUUAAGUUUAUAUUAUUUGUAAAAAAAAAAAACGCCAAGUUUAUAUUAACGUAUUCUUACUAAAAAUAAUUACAUAUAGUGUAUUCUAAUUAAUUACUUUAUUGAAUUUGAUUCCUAUACACUAAUUAACGUAUGACCAAUAAUAACUAAAUAUCACCAUCGGCUUCCAAUACAAUAAAAAAUCAACAUUGACAUAAGCAAAAGCAACCACUCCAAAGCCUUGUCAAAUUUGAAGGGAAUACCAAAAAUUGCAUCGUAUAAAUGUAAAUUAUAAAUUUAAAUUUAUUUAGGGGAUAUAAUGAAUUAAAACGUUUUCCUACAAAAUACGGUAAUGUUGAAUUUCGACCAAGAAGAUUAAAGUGGAGGAGACAUGCAGAUUACUAUUUGGUAAGAAUAGUAUAUAUAUCAAAUAAAGGGUAAGUAAACAAGUACACUAAUGUAAUGCAUACAAGCUUCUUUGUGUUAGAAACAUAUGUGAACAAAUCGGAGCAAGUAUAUUAAGCAAGCACAUAACUAAAAGAUCAUCAUUACUAGUUUCACUCUUUCCAGUGAAUGCAUUGUUGGUUGUUUCUUCUUCAUCCUCUUUGAUCUCCUCAGUCUCACGACGCUGCUUAUCAGCAAGCAUUUUCACAAAGCUCUGCCUGCCUGCAAGAUUCGAUCCUGUCAUGAGAAUCAUUACCAAUUGGAUGUGGAAGAACUGACGACUGACCAAGCUGCAACAUUGAGACUGACCAUGAUCAACAAGGACUGUGAAGUUGCCUUGUUAACUUCAGCUUUUGAGGUCUGAACCUCUUCCAACCUUUUGAGAGAGAAAGAAACAGUAAUGGUGGUGAAUGGUUGGGUGGUUUUUCAAAAUAUAUUGGGAGUGGUACAACUUAUAUCACGGAGUUUUGGAGGCUCUGAAUUGUGUGUUGAGUCUUUGACGAUUUCGUCCAAUCUUUCACAUGGUUGGUCUCAUCUUGGUCACUCUGGCAUUUAAAUUUUAAAUUCAUUUCGCAAUAAUAAGUUCAUAUGUUUGUUGUUAACCAUUACAAUUAUCUUAUAUGGAACUACAAGUUAUGGGAUAUUUUUUCAAUCUCGGUAAAAAAGAAAAUCGUUUUCACCUUUUGGGGUAAUGAAGAUUCAAUUCCUUUGCGCUAAGAUUUUUAUAUUGAAGAAGCUAAAUAAGUUCAUCCAAAUUGGCAAUCAAAUCUGAUACCUUAAGGAAGAGACACUCCCAAGUCCCAAGUCAAUGCACCCAAACCAACCCAGAUGGAUUUAACCGAUUCAUGUUUUAUGUUUAUAGAUCUGAACUGCCUUUGGCAAAGAUAUAGCUAGCAUAGGAGAGGCUGGAAAAAAUUCAUGUUGAAUAUAAAAAAUUGCAACAUCUUAUACGUGGAAAUUGUGGAGGAGACAUGCAGAUUAUUUGGUAAGAAUAGUAUAUCAAAUAAAGGGUAAGUCAAAAAACAAAAACAAUAAGAUAUGCGGAAGUCUUGUAUGUUACCAUUGACAAAAAAAAAAUAAGAAACAAACCAUCGAAUUAGAAACAAGUACACUAAUGCAUUAUAGAAUGAGAUACAUAUCCAAGGAUAGAGAAAUUACUACUCAUCAAAUCUCAAUACAACAUAAACUAUGAGCUGCAUAAAAUUUAGGUGUUUGUAGCUCUGGUGUAAAUCUGCUGACUUGCAUGGGAAGAUACCAGCCUGAUUAAACCUCUAGCCAUCAGAUCUCUUAUGGCUCUCCUUGCAAGUGAUCCGUUAAUCUGCAAGGUGUAUCAAAUUGUACAAAUCAUGAGAAUCUUGCUCUACAUACAAUGUAUUUAAAUAAGAAAAAAGUAUUGAAAACAAGAAAAAUACAAUUAAAAGAUGAAAACAAGUAUUAAAAUAAUGCUAGCACCAUCACUUCAUCUAGCUUUAGAGAAAAUAUGUAUAUGUGCAUGCAACAUGACAAUAAAAGUAGGAUAAUGGUUCAGCUGGCAUUGUUUAGAGUUAAGCCGGAAGCAGACAGACAAUCCUAGCCUACAUGAACAAAACAAGAUGAACACGGCUGCAUUGCAAACUGAGAAAACAAACUUUUUUUUCACAAAAUGCAAUCAUGUAUAAUGAAAAUAUCAAAUACGAGUCCAAGAGCAUAGAUAUUAACAUAAACAUUGGGCAAAAAACAAAGUGAAAACAUGCUAUCUAGAUUCACAAUCCACAAAUAUAAGUAAAAGCAAACCUACUUACUUGAUACCAAUAUUUCCAAUGACCAAAGCAACAUACCCACAUUUUAUGUAAGCUCAAACAAAAAGUUCAUAAACACUAACUAGUUUCAUAUUUUUAUAUCUACCAUCUAUAAUGUUUACCAUACCACCCCAAAUAUAUGUCUCACUACAUUCCAAUAUUCUAGUUUCUUGACAAGUAAAGAAUCAUCCAACAAAAAAGUGUGAAACAAACAUCAUAGCAUGAAAAUCUAGGCAUGUUCAUGUCCACACAAGAGACAAAGAAUGUAUGCAUAAAACAAACUUAACAGGAUAAUUAUCCCACUAAAACCAGCACAUAGGACAAUUACACACAUAAACAGGAUUUACAUUUCAUAAUGGAUCCAAGGCUGUAUAAGCUUGUAUUGAGACUCAAGUAACACAAACAAUUCAAAUUAAGAACAUAAUACAAAUCAUAAUCAUAAUAAUAUAAUAUACAACAAAAUCUCAAUCAGACAAAAUUACAAAUUAAGCAACAACUAAUCAAUCAAUAAAGAGAGAAAAAAGUAAAGGAUGUACCCUCAAACGAUCGGACAGAACAGAAGGAGUAAUGAGCUUGUAUUUGGGAGCCUCAGAGAGAAGCUUAUCAUAAGUAGCUUGAUCAAACAACACCAUGUUAUUAACCUUCUCCUUUUGCUUACCCUUGCUCCACUUCUGUUAAAAUCACAAAAACUUGACAUUAACAUAACACUCUUAAGCAAUCUAGUGUGACCCAAUUGGCAUAAUGAGAAAAAAAUUGAAACUUUAAGAAGAAAAAUGCGAACCUUCUUCUUCUGCUUGCCACCACCGGAUUUGGCUGGCUUUGAGGAAGGUGGUGGAGCUUUGUCCUUCUUUGGAGCCUGAAAGUACCAUCAAAAGAUGCACAGAACAAAAAUUUAGAAAAUGGUAAAAAGAAUGAAAAUUAGAGGUAUUGAAUUUUGAAGAGAAAGUACCAUGAUUUCGUAGAACACUACAGUGACAGCAGAAGAUGGAGGCGAUCACAAAUUCACAAUCACAAACCUAACUCGAUUAGGGUUUUACAACUUUUUGUUAUUGGAGGAGAACCAGUUUUUUUCUUGGGCCAGAAUAAUAUAGGCCCAAUAAUAUGUAAAUUUGGGCCACAAAGCACUGUUUUGGGCUAAGAUGGUUUAGGUUGGAAAUUUUUUUUUUCUACCCCAACAAUCUUCUAUCUACCCCAACUUUUUUUCUAAUAUUCCCAUUAUACCCUUAUCAAAUUUAAAUAUAUUUUAUUAUUUUUUCACUUUGUUAAUUUGUAACUUUUUUGGUAGACUGUUUACACCCAUCACCCAGUGUUCCGGUACGUUUUUUUUUCUUUUCGGGUUUGUCGAAAUUACCGGAACACUUUGAAAAAGUGUUCCGGUUUGUUAAAUUUCCAGUUUAUUACCGGAAAACUUUUCAAAAUCGUUCCGGUAUUACAAUUUUCCAGAAACGGUUGUGUGUAUACCGGAACAUACAAAAGGUGUUCCGGUAAUAACAAAGCGUUCCGGUAAGCAUAAACGUGUUUUGUUGAAUACUGGAACACUUUUCAAAGUAUCCCGGUAUACAAAAAAGUGUUCCGGUAUACAACCAAGUAUUCCGGUAUACAAAAAAAUGUUCCGGUAAUUACAUAUGUGUUCCGGUGUGUUGAACAAGUUGUAAAAAGUGUUCUGGUACAUUAAAAGUGUUCCGGUAUAGCAUAGCAGUUUUAUUAAUUUUUUUUAAAAUUUUUUUUUUAAACAGAUAUGGCUCAAAUCGGCAAUACAAGUCAAAUAUUAGUAGAUACUACAGAUGUUUUUACAACUGAUCAAAAAUUUGCUACACCGGAUNNNNNNNNNNNNNNNNNNNNNNNNNNNNNNNNNNNNNNNNNNNNNNNNNNNNNNNNNNNNNNNNNNNNNNNNNNNNNNNNNNNNNNNNNNNNNNNNNNNNNNNNNNNNNNNNNNNNNNNNNNNNNNNNNNNNNNNNNNNNNNNNNNNNNNNNNNNNNNNNNNNNNNNNNNNNNNNNNNNNNNNNNNNNNNNNUUGCUGCAGUUGUUAGAUGAUGGAAAAUAUGUCAGCUGGAAUAGAAGAAAAGAUGAUGGCUCCGAUGUUUUGAGUGAUAUUUUUUGGGCGCAUCCAGAUUCAAUCAAGUUGUUGAACUUGUUUCCCAUUGUACAUACUCACCAGGUCAAAAGGAAGUGCAGCUCUAUGGUCUUGAAACGGACGCCAUAUCACGUCAUCUGGGGUCAAUGCAUCCAGUACUGGUCGAUAAGCAGGAAGCUUCACAUUCCCUUGCCUAUACCUCCACCGCCUAGCUCGAGGUAAACUGGCACCAGGAAUAUCACAGUCAAUACCAGACUCAGCCCGCCUUCCAAGGGUAGGGAAAUACUCGUGAAUCCAACACUGUUACAACCAAAAUUUUCAUUAUUUCAAUAAGCUGAAAAAUAAUAAUGCAUCACUUUUUACGGACAAUUACAUAUAGCAGCAACACACAUAACAUACUCAUGAAAUGAAAAUAAUUAAGAAUAAUAAUUACUAAAUUGUUACAUAAAACAUGAAAUGAAAAUUAUCAAGAAAAUAGUAGCUGAAAAAUGAAACGGAUAUUAAAUACUUGUAAAAAUGUCGCAUACCCAGCGAGCCCCUUUGUGGUAAAGAUAGAAGCAUCAUUCAAGGUAUCAUAUAAUUCAACCAAGGCAAUUGCACCCCAAGCAAAUCUUGAACAUGUAGACAAAACCCUAAACAUCGGUAGAUAUUUUGCAUCCACGCGUGUAAAACUCUUGUCAGUGCAAAUGGUACAGUCGACCAACAACAACAAAUACGACCUAGCAGCACAAUCAUAAUUCUCAACUUCACACUGCCUUAUGUAGUUAUCAAAUAGCCAGUGUUGAGAAAAAUAUCCACCUCGCUGCUUUCUUGUCUCUCUAGCCGCACACUGAAGACUGACACCCAACAAUUCAGCUGCAAGUGUCGUAGCUUCUUCCUCUGUGAACGAUGACGGUGUGUAAAAGUCACUCCUAAUAGGAAUAUGCAACAAACAUGCAACAUCAUCCAGUGUAAUUGUCAUUUCACCGAACGGCAUGUGAAAUGACGAUGUCUCUGGGUGCCAUCUCUCAACAAACGUGGAUAUAAGAUUCGGAUCGACCUUGUUCAAACUGGUUCGCUCAAGUGGACUCAACCCAGAUGCAGUCAUCCAACCUUCAACAUAUCGUGGAUGUUGAGUAGGAACCCAUUCGGCCAGUUUGCCACCGAGAGAUGCUAUCUUUAAUUCAAUUCUUGGUCCAUGACGUUCCUACAUUAUAUGACAAAGGAUUGUAAAUAAGUUUAUCACAAUUACAACUUUUUUGGUCAUAUUAUGGGUGACAGAAAUCAGAGAAUAACGUCGUAAUUAAGUGAACAAAACAAAACAAAUGCAAUAAGGCAGCAAGUAAGUGAACAAAACAAAUGCAAUAGCUAUUUAUAAAUAAUACUAGGUUACGAGUGUUACCAAAAACAUUAAGUGAAUUUUUUCAUAAUUUAUGACCUGAGAUUCUUUCCCAAAACAUUAAGUGAAUUUUUUCAUAUCAUUGAUCAUAAGAUAUAUCCUACUGCUAUACAUUUCAUUGAACUUUAACUAAAACUAUAAAUAAAAAUUGAUUACCUCGCCAAACCAUACAUGACGAGCAACGUGCUCAUGAUACCGUGUCAGAAGACUANNNNNNNNNNNNNNNNNNAAACAACAUUCAUUAAUAAAAAAAUGCAAAUACAGUUUAAAAAUGCAUACCGGAACACUUGGGUUUGAGUAUUCCGGUAUGCAAACAAUAACAAGCGAAACAGAUGAGAAAUUUUAAUACCGGAACACUUAGAAAAAGUGUUCCGGUAUGAAUAUUCAUACCGGAAUACGUAAACGAAAGUGUUCCGGUAUGAAUAUUCAUACCGGAACUCUUUUUCUAAGUGUUUCGGUAUGAAUAUUCAUACCGGAACACUUGAAAAAAAGUGUUCCGGUAUGUUAUUCGUACUUACUCUCUCAAAUUCCUCUUUCACAACACCGGAACACUUUUUUGAGAUGUGAGUGGAAAAUGAAUUUUUUUUUACAGUUUUACUUUAUAUAGGAGGGCAUUUUCGUCAUUAAAAAUUUUGUGUUGGGGUAGAUGGAAGAUUUUUGGGGUAGAAAAAAAAAAUUUCUUUAGGUUGACUGUUUCUCUUCUAACCCAAACGUUCUCAAAAAUUAAUUACACAUGAACAAAAGGUGGACGGACAAGAAGUUAUGCAGUUAAGGUUCUGUUUGGUAAAAAUAAGCUAUAAGCUAGCUGAUAGCUGAUAAGCUAGCUUAUAGCUGAUAGCUGAUGGCUGGUAGCUUAUAGCUGAAAAGCUAGUAGAAUAAAAUUAAAGUGUUUGGCAAAUUUNNNNNNNNNNAAAAUAAAUAAAUAAAAUUAAUGAGGGUAAAUAUGGAAUAAAAUGAAAAAGCUAUAAGCUAUAAGCUCAUACGCUACUUGAAAUAGCAUCUCAAAAAACGCUAUAAGCUAGUUAGAGAAGCUCGUUGCCAAACACUUCACAUUUUUUUCAAACAAGCUUAUAAGCUAGUUCAAUAAGCUAUAAGUUACCUUAUUGAACUUACCAAACAGUGUCUAAAUCUUUUUAUAUAACAAAAUUCAAUCUUUAAAAAAAUUAAAUUCAUAGACUUAGGCGACACAAUAUUACUAUGCGACCUUUUGAACUCUUUUCAAAAGGUUUACAACAUCUAGUUCUAGAAAGCUAAAAGAAUGCAAACAGUAUAAAAAUGUGUUAAUUUUAAAAAUCUUUUUUAUUUGUGUGGAUUUUUUUAAAAAUCGGAUGCGUAAAAAUUGGGUUUUUGCCACGUUUAAAUUUUAAAAUCCAUAUAAAUAAAAAGGUGUUACCGAUUUUCUAUGUGCAAUUUGAGCUUCAUGAAUCCAAAUUGGAUCCCACAUCCAAACUCUGGUGUGAGAAUUUACAUAUGAUGGGACCUAAUUAAAAAGUUGCAAACUUUUUUUAUAAAUAAACUAAUAAAUGUUAAUAAACCCUUUUUUAUUCGUGCAAACAAAGUAUCAUUAGAGACGUUUAUAAACAUUAAUCACUCGUUUUAAGAGUAACUUAUUAAUCAUUUGAGCUCAAUUGCAUUUUGUCUCGACUAAAAUAAAAAGUAAAUCCUAGUUUCAAUGCAUGAUGUUUUUUAAGAUUGUCCACAAAUUGUAUUGGCACUCCACCAUUCCUUAAUCUUUCCUAAGUUUAGUUCGCCACUCCUUUCCCCAACUUCUAUGAUCACUUUUCCUUUUGCACACACCAAAAGAUUCUCAAUCUUCCCACUAUAUCUCAUCAGUCCCUACCAAAAAAUAAACACAAGAGGGUAACGUUUAUUUUAUUUUUAAAUUAGUGUUGCGCAUAAACAUAGAUAUAUAUAGUGGGAAGGUAACGUCUAUUUUUAUGUUUUUUCCUAUUAAAAAAAAAUACAUAGAUUGUUAGAUAUGUCUUAUCCAGUCCAAUUAAUCUGUAUAUUAUUUCUCUAACUACUCUAUAAUAAGGCAAACGUGUGGGAUACAACCCCUAAUCAUUCUUCAACCUUACUUCCUAAGUUUAUAAAUGUGAUAAGGAUAAACACAUCAAAUUGGUCAAUUUGCAAACUAACAUUGCAGAAAAAUAUGUUUAUACGACCUUACUUUAUACUACACCUUUAAAAAUAUUCGUUGCUAUCAUCUUCGUAACGAUUUUGAUGUAUUAGCUGUUAGGUAAAAUGGCUUCUAAUAUAAAAUAUAUUCUUGUACCAAACCAUGUAUACGGAGCAAUAUUGAGCUUUAAUUAAACAAAUUAUAUUGAGCAAUAUUACUAUAUACUUUAUAAAUUAAAUAAGAUUAUUUAGACAAACUAGUUUUCCCCCCAAAAGCACAGCUCAAGGGCAUGGAGUUUACAUGACUUAGGUAUAGGUUUUAAGUAGUUUUAAAGUGAAUAUUAUAGGGCUCAAAUAAGGGUUACAAUUCACGAAAAAUAAAAUAAAUACUCUCUCGUUAUGAAAUGGAGGUGUAGUGAAGAGAUUUACUCAAACAUGGUCAAAUAUAAUGUGCAAAUUCUAAAAUUGGAUCCUCAAUAGUCAACUUCUCUACCGCUUCUUCUACUGCACUAUUUUCAACUGUCAAAUUAAUUAAAACUAAAAUGCAAAAAAGAAAAGACUAUUUUUGUGUGUAUCAUCAACACCUCACGUUUGUUUUUUCAAGUUAAACAUCUUUUACUCCAUUAUUCAAAAAAUAAAUAAACAUCUUUUCCUCCAAUCAUGUUCAAAAUAUGUAAUAAUUUGAUGUGUUUGAGUUGCCAUAAGAAGCUUUUAACAUUCAGCUGCAAUCAUGGUCAAACAUGGUGCCGUGCCAUAUGUUUUGAAAGAGUUAUUUUAAGUACUCCUCCUAUUCCUAUUAUAGGGAAAUAAUUCAUCUUCUUCAAUCAUAUUAUCCAUGUCAUUAUCCACUACCAAAAAUUAAACUUAUGAUUAUUGUCUUCAACAUAGGACAUAGCUACCUACCAAACAGGGAAAAAGGAAUAGUGGACCCUUCAAUCCAUACCACUACUAAGUAAUAAUGUUAUAUCCUUCUCGUUUAAGUAAUUAGCUAUGGCCUAUGCAAGGACUUGAUAUUUAAUAGUAUCAAAUAUAGAUCAUUCUCGAACCAUAUUUAUUUAUCCAUGCAUGAUAAAACUAUGAAAGUUAAAUGUCAUUGUCUUUUUUUUUUGAUAAGCAAAAAUUGAAUUAUAAAGAGUACAAGGGGCACUCAACCCUUACAAUUCAAACGAAAACCAUUAGAUGCUAUCAAUGCAAACUAACGGAUCGUUACACCAAUCAGAAAAUACAAAAGAAGUAUUAACUCUCAACCGACCUAUAAACCAANNNNNNNNNNNNNNNNNNNNNNNNNNNNNNNNNNNNNNNNNNNNNNNNNNNNNNNNNNNNNNNNNNNNNNNNNNNNNNNNNNNNNNNNNNNNNNNNNNNNNNNNNNNNNNNNNNNNNNNNNNNNNNNNNNNNNNNNNNNNNNNNNNNNNNNNNNNNNNNNNNNNNNNNNNNNNNNNNNNNNNNNNNNNNNNNNNNNNNNNNNNNNNNNNNNNNNNNNNNNNNNNNNNNNNNNNNNNNNNNNNNNNNNNNNNNNNNNNNNNNNNNNNNNNNNNNNNNNNNNNNNNNNNNNNNNNNNNNNNNNNNNNNNNNNNNNNNNNNNNNNNNNNNNNNNNNNNNNNNNNNNNNNNNNNNNNNNNNNNNNNNNNNNNNNNNNNNNNNNNNNNNNNNNNNNNNNNNNNNNNNNNNNNNNNNNNNNNNNNNNNNNNNNNNNNNNNNNNNNNNNNNNNNNNNNNNNNNNNNNNNNNNNNNNNNNNNNNNNNNNNNNNNNNNNNNNNNNNNNNNNNNNNNNNNNNNNNNNNNNNNNNNNNNNNNNNNNNNNNNNNNNNNNNNNNNNNNNNNNNNNNNNNNNNNNNNNNUUGACCCAUAUCUAUACACCAGUAACUUGCACCACAAAGUGUUAUCUUCACUAAGCCCUCUCCACUUCCAUUUGCAUAGUAAAGCUUGAUUGAACAAAUCAAGAUUCUUAAUACCCAAACCUCCUUUAUCUAUAUGCCAGUGCAUGUAUCAUUCAUCCUUGCAUUGAAUUUAAUUAUACUUAAACCUUAUUACUCCUAUAUACCUAACAAAUCACCUUUAAGAUUAAAAAAAAUAUGGUAUAAUAAUGAAGUGAAAACAUAACCAAUUGAAUUUGUGCACAUAUUUAUCAAUUAUUUAGUUUAAUAUGAGGAAAAAAGUAGCAUCCUCCUCCAUUAUUGUUAUUGAUGGGUCCAUUUAGGACAAAAAGUUACUGAGGGACCAUGGAGGCUUUGGAGGGUUGACAAAAAAGAGAAGAAGAAAGCAAGAGAGAGUGGGUGGCAUGGCAAGGCAAGGCAUAUUUUUCUUAAAGAGUAAGAAAUGGGAUGCAAAUCUUUGUGGUUUCUUUCUAUAUUGACCAACUGUCAUGCACUCCAAUAAGCUACUGCCAGAUUACCACAACUAAUCUUUAAUAAUACUAUUCUUUUUAUAUUCAAAAUGAUCUUUUAAAAAUAUAAAAUAAUUGUACAUUCAUAAAAGAAAAUAAUUUAAAGCAUGAAGAUCACAUAUAUUGGGUGAAGGAAAGUCCUUGAAACCUAAAAAAGUAGGUCAAAUUUAAAUUAUCAUGAAUAAAUUAAAUGGUGUGUGUAAUCAUGUACAAUAAAAAUUUAGGUUAAAUAAGUUUUUAUUUUGUACAAUUAGUAAAUUUUCAAUUUAAUCCUUAUAAUAAAAUUAAUGUUUGCAUCUUAUAAAAAAUUUCAGCACGCGGUUUUUUUUUUUGGUAUGCAGUUUGUCUCUCUUAAAUUCGGAUUUAUUAUUUACUUUUAAAUUUUUGAAUAUAUGUUUAAAAUAUUAUAAAAAAAAAAUUGCAAAAAAAAAAUCAAAAAUUAAUUUCUAAGUCCAUACUUUCAUUUUUCUUUAUCUUAUACUUUUAAUGUUUUAAAAAAUUCAUAUUAAGUUGAUUCCGUGUUCAAAAUUAUAAUGUUCUAAGCAUAAAUGUAGAAAAGCCGUAUAGUUUUUUGUUUUGGACGAAACCAAAGGCAAAUUAGAAUAUAUGUUGCAUAUUUUCGAAUAAAAGAAGCAAAAGAAAAAUCAUUGUUUAAAAGAAAAGGAAAUUGAUAAAUAAAUUAACAAAAAAAAAGUAAGAAAGGAAAUGGAAUAUUAUUGGGGAAAAGUAAAAGCACUAGAUUCGUGUCUCUAAAUAAUAUAUUGUUUUAUGAACACUUGUUUUAUGCAUGCUUUUGAUUCGGUUCUAUAAAUUAAAGGAAGACAUGACCACUCAUUUCGAAAAAAAAAAGACCAAACCCAAAGAGAAUACAGAACAAAACAUAGAUACUCUGUUUUCAGAUUCUUACUCACACUCUAAUAUCUUUUCUUUAAAAUAAAAAUUAUUCACUCUCAAUUUCCAUGCUUCUAUUCUUAAAUAUCACUGCAGUGUCUAUUAUAGCUGCAGAUUCUUCAGAUAUUGUUUAUAUGCAUAAAUUUUCAGUCCCUUUUAUUUAACAACAAAACAGAGUAAAAAAACAGAACGUGUUCUGUUUUGUUCUGUUUCAUUGCUCUUUUACUAAGAUAAAAUGGGUUCAAGUUCAAUCAAUUUGCAUAAACUCAAACCAGGGAAAUCCAACAAAAUUCAUAAACAUCGUCAGCUAAGAAAGAUUGCAAAUUUGUUGAGGUAUGUAGAGAUGUGUGUUGUGUUGGUUUUGAUUUCAAGAGUUUCAUUUCAACAACUACCAUUAGCUUUGAAGAUGUCGAGCGAGUAUUUUCGCGGUUUCACAGUUAGUCCUCGAUUUGUUUUUCUGAUUGGAAACAUCAUCAUCAUCACACUCUUUGCUCAAUCUGGUCAUUUUUCAUCUAAUGAUUCUGCAAAAAGAAGAAGUUCAGAAGAUGAACUGUAUCUUGAGUUUCUAAAGAACAGCAGCAUGUAUCAGAGAGUCCAAGGUUUUGAACAGAAAAAAUUGAGCAUAAAAAUGGAGAACAGCAUAAAGGGUCGUAGAAUCAAUGAUCGUUGCAUGGUGAAAUUCUCUGAGAAAGAGUGUAAGAAAAGUGACGAUGAUAAGAAAGUGAGGUUGGAAGAGAAACAGGGGAUAAAAACAGAGUGUUGCAAAGGUAUGGAAGUGAAAGAAUAUAGGAGGUGUCAAUCGGAAAUCACGUUGGUGAGGGGUGUCAAUAGUGAUGAUGAGAAGGAACAAAAAGUUCUGCAAAGGUGUGAGAGUGAGAAUGAUGAAAGAAAGAGGAGAAACAUUGAAUUUGAUAAACAGAAAAUGAUGGAAAAAAGUUCUUGUUUAUAUCCUGAAGAUGGAAUGAGCAAUGAUGAAUUUCGUCAAACAGUUGAGGCAUUUAUUGCGCGACAACAGAAGCUACGAGCAAAUGCAAUACAAAGCUUUUAUUCCUAGCUAAUUACUGUGUCAUUUGUGUGAAAAUAUUAUCAGGAAUUGGGUUGUAAACUAAGCUAAACCCUUCUGGUUUUUCUUUUCCUGUUUUUUUAUCUAAAUUUUUCUUCUUCUUUUUUAAUGAACAAACAAAUAUGUGGUGUAUCUUGUAUCAUCAUCAUGUAAAUAAAGGUUAGGGGAAGUGAGUAAAUAACAUUUUGGAUAAUAAAACCAUUAUCUGUUUAUCUAAUUGGGUUUUGUUUUCAAAUCUAAAAAUAUUUGUGUUAUCUGAUGUUAAAACUCAGUAAGUGAACUGAGUUGAUUAAGUAGUACUGACCUUGAGAUGAAGGGUUGUGAUUCCAUCUCAGACAUAGGAAAGAUAAUAACUAGUUGGACAUUUUUAAAUUUUGAGAAUGAAUUCACAUCCUAUGGUAUAUGGCCUGGUAUUUUCUAUGUAAAUCAGAUAUUUUUCACGCACAACUGAAAAAUUAAUUUAUCGAGCUGGAUUGGAAAAAAGGUUAUUAAUUAUAUAUUUCUAUUUAUGAGUUGCAAAUUUCAAAAAAUCUAAUUUAGUUGAGCUUGCCUCUCUAGAGGGAGAAAGUAAGUAGACGCAUUUCUAUUACUUCAACUUUCUACAUAAUAGGAAUGCGUCUACUUUUCCUACCGUCCUCCCAUCUUUGCCGCAAUGUAAAAGCCAUACUAUGUGAUUGGCAGUGGCACUAACUCAAUAAGCCAAAGUACAUUAUUACAACCUUUUUAGGCACUCAUCAAGUCUUUAUUUUUUGGUACCAAAAUCUUAACUGUCUACCACUAUAGGUUUAGGCCUUGUGCAUCUUACUUUUAAUUUGAUAAUUAUUAUAAAAAAUAACAAGUGUGGGCAAUUAAGGGCCGUAUAAGGUUCACAAUAGAAGAAAAUAUAUUAUGAUAACUUUUCUUCUCCCUUCCCCAACUUAAUUGUCCAGGUACACUAUCUUGACCUUCCUUCUUAACCCUCUUUGAUGAGGGUCAAUUCAACAAUAAAAUGGAUCAAUGAACCUUCCCCUAUGAUUAAUUUCUCAUGGAUUUGGGAAAGGAUUGUGAAAUUAGUAGUUCACAUCAGGAUUUCAGUUCAAAUAAAAAUUACUACAUCUGCCUCUAUAUGUAAGACUAAGAUUCCAUUGAGCAAAACACAAAAUCACCAAAGAAACCAUUCUCGAGAUGAAUAGGGUGUUAUACUUUUUUUUUUAAUUAAAUUACAAGUAAUGAAUAAUAUAAAAUUAGUCUUCUAAGAACCAAGUAGCUGCUCGCAAUUCAUUCGAAUCUUCCUAAGACGAUUGCUCUUUUCCCUCCGCAUUGCUCACGCAGAAGAAAAAAAUACACUACCGAAAGAUAUCUUUUGAUGAGAAUGGAGGGAUUCAGAGCAAUGUAGGGGGAAAAGAGCUCCAAAUAAAAAAAAAAUAAAAGGCAGUUUAAUUAUGGUGGUAUACCAGCCACCUGUGCUGGAACUUCCAGUUCCAAUCGAAGCAUAUCUAUCCGUAAAUGGAUUUGUAUGUAUAGCCAUUACCCUUCUUAAAUCUGAAACAAACACAAAGAAAAACAAAAAAAGGUGAUUUUUUUUGAAAAAAAAAUCUUAAACAAACGAGGCCUAUGAUUUAUACUUCCAAUCCAUUUAUCCCGAAAAGCUCCGCAGUGCACCACUCUUUCUCAGUCUCACACAGAUAGAGUUUUGUAGUUUAGCAGCAGAUAAAUACAAAAAAAGUUACAUACAAACUUAUCAUUCGGUUGCUUUGCUUCUGAAACGAACUUUUCAUUCCCGUCUAGGAGCACAUGAAUUGACUGCAUUGAAGUACGUUCAACUAUUUGCUGUUAGUCCAUAAAUCUAUUGUUGUGCCUGAAACAUUGAGUAUAAUAAAAUGUGAAAAUCAAGUUACAGGUAAAACAAAAAUGCACCACAAAUACGAAGCAUUCUCAUAAAAUUCUCUCAAAAGCAUGAUAAUUAAUAAUGUACUUAUAGAGGAUUACUGCAAAACCAACAAUUAACAGGUAUAAUGAAAGUGGCUUAACUUUUCUAAAUAAUAUGAUGAUAAAAACUAGUUUGAAUCCAAAUUAGAAAGAAAAUAAGAAUAAUUUUAAACUCUUUCAAACUUAAUAUAUACUUAUAUCUAUAUAUAUAAAUCCUAGAUAGUUGUCCAAUUGACUAUCUAAACCCUAAUCCACAUCACCCACUUAAACCAAUGAAAACCUUUCAUUUAGCCAUAUCACCCACUUACAUUCAUUUAAUGUGUGGUACUAAAUAUUAUUAUUUUAUUUUAUUAUUAUUAUUAUUAUUAUUAUUAUUAUUCUUUUCGGUUACUAUUCAUUUUAAUUUUUUUUCUUCAUUUUAUUAUUUUGUGUAUUUUAUUAUUUUUGGUUCAUAAUAGGUAAUGCUUUUGCUAAUAAUCUUUUGUUCAAUCUUUGUGUAUAUAAUUAGUUGGUCGAUUGUCAAGACUAUUUAUUGAUGAUUUUGGUACGCAAAUUCAUCGUCACAUUCUUUUGAUUGAUCCAAAUAAAAAUCAAUUUGAAGUGUUAAUAAAAAAAAUAGAUAAAAUAAAAUUUACUGAUGGUUUGUAUGAUGUUCAUGAUUUUUNNNNNNNNNNNNNNNNNNNNNNNNNNNNNNNNNNNNNNNNNNNNNNNNNNNNNNNNNNNNNNNNNNNNNNNNNNNNNNNNNNNNNNNNNNNNNNNNNNNNNNNNNNNUACUACCUAUACAAAUAAUUUUUUUAUGUUAUAGUAUAAAACAACGCAUAAAACCCGUGCGAUAAUUUUUUAUGUUAUAGUAUAAAACAACGCAUAAAACCCGUGCAUCGCACGGGUAAUUGUCUAGUAAGCAGUUAUUUCCAAAAAGUUGUGUGUUGAUAUAAGCAGUUAUUUCCAAAAAGUUAUGUGUCAUUUAGUAUAUCAUACAGCAGUUGACUUUAGUGUGUAUGCUCAACAAGGCUCUGACCUCAUGUACCAUAAGAAAGAAAGCACCAAUCCGCAUUCUAUAAAAACUGAAUCACCUUCGAUAUCCAACAAAACUAAAUUGCAUACUUGCCUCAUUUCAAACAGCAGAAACAACUUGAAGUAGGGACUAAGAUCUACCUUAUUUUAAACAGCCAUCUUCAUCUCAAUCUUCUGGUGAGGAUCAUAGCCAAUGAGCUUGAAAUCAGUAGCCACAAAAGAAUCGAUAUCUUUCUUCUGUGGAUUGAUCUUCAAAGUCUGCAUUGGAGUCAGUUUAGUCAGCAAGUAAAAGAGUAACCAAACACAAAUCUAAAGUAGUGCUAAAUGGUAAAAAAAAAACUGUGUGCCUAACUACAUUAAAGUCAAUAAUUUUCUUAAACAUUACACGUACUGGAAAAGGUUUUGGCAGGUUAUGAAGCUGGUCCUGCAAAGGCUUCACAUGAGUUUGGUAAACAUGUGCAUCCCCAAUAUCAUGGAUAAAAUCACCCGGAACAAGUCCUGACAAGAAAAAGACAUAAUAUAAGAAUUUAUUGUUUCAAUUUCAAAUUACUUAUUGAUAUCUUUAAUGAUAUUAUCAACCCAAUAAACUUUUGAACCCCAAGCACAACAACACCUGACCUUCAAUACUACAACAAAAAAAACCACCACCGAGCUCUUUCCAGUUUCCCACUGGGUGAAUCAGUUGAUCCCAUAAAAUCCUGUCAAGCAUUAGAUCCAAAGACCAUUUACCCCUAAACUUUUCUCUUAAUGGUUUCGCCUAUAGUUUUCUUUGAUCUACCACUAGCUAUUAAGCUUAUCUUCCAUCUGUUAAACACCCCUCUUCUACAAGCCUACUCCUCACAUACCCGAACCACCUAAGACAAGACUACCAUCUAUUCUACAAUGGGGGAAACUCUAAUUAUCUUACUGAUUAUUGUACUUCUAACCUUACUCUUAAAACUUGGGUUGGGGCAUAACUCAACACUAUAAAACCAGCUUGUAUUUCUAGCCAUAUUUUCUGUUUUACUUCUACUUCUACUUGGCCAAAAACUGUGUAUUUCCACAUUGUGAAUCCAUGUAUUCAAAAUUAUUCAUGUUACUAAAAGAUGUGAUAGAACAUUUGAAAGAGAAACAACAUCAAAAUAAAAGCUUUAACCCCAUGUAUUCAAAAUUAUUCAUGUUACUAAGAGGAAACAUAGAACUAUUGAUGUAUCAACACGUGACUUAAGUAAAAAUAAACAUUAAAUUUUUUGUCAUGAACCAACUUUCUCAAAAGCUUAAGCUGUGAGGUGAAGAUGCAUGAAUGGUCUUUAUUAUAUAUCUCUAACAUGCCACUUCAUGUGGGAGCUCUAUGGGCUUAAAGGAUGGGCAAUAUACAGGUUCACCGACCUUGUGAUGAAAUUAUUAGAAGAAUAGGAGCAGGAAGCAACGAACGCUAGACCAUUUUGUCAAAAAGAUCAAAUACUAUAUCGUAAAUCAAAUAUCCCAAAAACUUGAGUUGUAAGGUGAAAAUAAAUGAAUGGUCUUUAUAUUACAACUCUAAUAGUUUGAACAAACCAAAUGAGGCUAACUUCCUAGGGUAAAUCUCAAUUUAACAAAAACAACUAAAUCAAGAUUGGGCUGACCCUGCACAGGAAAUUAAUACAACCACCACCAACUAACAAGAUUAAAAAGACAUUUAGAACCAAAUAAAAAAAUAACAUAUAUCAUCUCUUAUUACCCGCACAAAACCCCAAGAUUUAAGAUGGUUUAUACAUAUUAUAACAUAGUUACUUUACAGCAGAUGUAUGGAUAAAUUUGCAUACCACAAAUAUGAGCAAUCAUGCAUGUCAAGAGGGCAUAAGAUGCAAUGUUAAAUGGCACACCCAGGCCCAUGUCAGCAGAUCGCUGAUACAUUUGACAUGAUAACUCCCCAUUUGCUACAUAGAACUGCAAAAAUUAAAUUUGAGAAUAUAAAUUAAAAAGGACGGAGAGACUAGAGAGGUAGGGGGGGAGAGUUUUUAAAGUGAAAUUUCCCAAAUGAAAUUGCAGACCUGUGCAAACAUGUGGCAGGGAGGAAGAGCCAUCAAUUUAAGAUCUGCUGGAUUCCAUGCAGAGAGAAUGAUCCUCCGAUCAUCUGGAUUAUGCUUUAUCUUGUUGAUAACAUCUAAAAGCUGAUCAAUUCCUUGGCCGGUGUAGUCAUUAUGCAUGUUAGUAUACCUAUAAAAUAUAAUAUGGAGAAUAAAGAACACAUUACCAUAUAAAUAGUCUAUUGACCUAGUGAGAAAAGGUCUAAAUCCACAUACCUAGCACCGAAGUGCCUCCACUGAAACCCAUAAACAGGUCCUAAGUCACCCUCUUCCCUGUCUGACAAACCAAUGCUGUAAUAAAAUGUAAAUCCAGUCAAUAAAUGGAAGAAGGAAAGUGUACAAUUUGUAUUUAAAAGUUACAUCAAUUAACAAUCAUGCUCACCUAUCAAGGAAUUCCCUGGAUGCAUUAUCAUCCCAUAUAUGAAUGCCUUUUUCUUGUAACAUCUGUCAAUCUAAGUGAGUUAAAUAACAUGCUUUCAAUAGUUUUGCCUCUGUCAAAACUAAGCUCAAGUAACAUAAAGUACCCCAGCCCUAUGCGGCACAAUAUUUGGUUCAUGUCAAUGGGUUAGCGACCUAACUAAUAAAGUUGAGGAUUUAUAUGAUUGUGGAUAAGAUUGGUAAAGGAUAUAAAUACCUUGGCAUUUGUUGAGCCGCUGAUAAACCAAAGAAGCUCUUCAACAACCCCGCGCCAAAAUACUCUCUAGCAAUCAAAUGUAGAUAUCACUUCAACUUUUUAUAAAAAUAUACAAACAGAUAUGCCUUUUCCCCAAUAAAGACCAAAAGUAGUAAACGAACAAAUGAGUAAAUAAUAAAAACAGCUCUUCCGUAAUAAAGACUAAAAAUAGUGAACCAAUAAAUGAAUCAACUAUAACAAGUUAUUUUAUACAGUAGAUUAACACAACAUAAACCAUAAUUCUGCUACAUACACACCUUAGUUGUUAGAAGAGGAAAGCUUCUGCGCAGAUUGAAUCGCAUCUGUGAAAUUAUUACAGAUGUGAGACGACGUAAGGAUAUAAAUUGCAUCAAGACACUAACUGAAGUUGAAGUUUUACCUGGCAACCAAAUGUUGACAAGGUCCCAGUCCCUGUCCUAUCACCCUUGGUAGUACCUUGAGAUAUGAUUUCUUGAACCAGAUUAAGAUACAUGUACUCCCCAUGUCUCUCAAAGAUCAUUUUAGGAAGAAAAGAAAAGUUAUGAACCUCAAAUUUUUUAGAAGCUGAAUUAUUAUCAAAAAGUGAAUCACUAUUCUGACUGAGGGGCUCUGCUGCAGAACUCCUUACACGCACAUAAGUGGUGAAAGAAUAUCGGAUGUUGUUUUCCACCUUAGGAUAAGAUGAAUACCAUGGCCGAAAUAUAGUGGUAUCAAUUGGAGGCAUAAAGGUGUCACACUCAAUGUUUGCUUGAAUUUCUGUGACGUGGAUAGCUUCACAUUCAGGUGCAUUGAGAGCCUCUCUAUACACGGAAAUAAUCAACUAUAAGUCGACAACAUAGACAAUAAUACUUAACAACAUGAAAGGGAAAAAAUAGGAACAAAGUAGUAAUACCUAAAUAUCUCACCGCCCCCGAUAACAAAUAUUCUCUCAAUCGAUGUACUGUAAGGAGAAGCAGCUAAAAGUUGUAAUGCAGAAGACAUACUUGUACAUAUAACAACAUUUUCUACUGGUACAUUAUCAAAGCUACCCGAACGAGUCAAAACAACAUUAAGACGGCCAGGAAGAGGCCUGAAGUGAAGAGGGAUACUCUCCCAUGUUUUUCUUCCCAUGACAACAGCAUUCUUCUUCCCAGAUUGAGAUGUUGUGGUAGUGAUUUCCUUGAAAAACUUGAGAUCGGUAGGUAAUCGCCACGGUAAUUUUCCAUCCUUACCGAUUCCCAUAUCUUGGGUGGCAGCAACUACUACUUGGUAAGCCCUCUUCUUCUGUAGGUUGUUGAUGCUGCCAUUGGCAUUGGCAUUUGCAGCCAUAGUAGAACAACUUCUUAGAAACCGAAUUAAACUUAUUAAGGAUUGGUUUCGACUUAAACAAGGACUGCACAACCAAUUAUUUUGGAUGUGCAGUGCAAUCUGAAACCCAAACAAAUUACUAAAUUAAAUGAAUUGUUCUUAAUUAGUGAGAAAUGAAAAUGAAGAGAAUACAACAACAAAAACAAAUGCGAUGCUCACCGGUUUCAAACAGAGGCGCGGAAUUUUGAAUUAAUCGGUAGAGUUAGAGAGAGGGAUUCAUUCACCCACCGCAAUUCAGAGAGGGUUUUGUGAGUCAAGAAAGCUUCAACCUUUGCUGCUACUUUCAAUUGAUUUUUUUUUUUCACAACAUUUUUUAUCUACUUCUAAUAUACUAUCAAAUUUAUUAAUUUCUUUUUAUUUAUUUAUUGUAAUAAGAGGAGGGAUUCGUUCACUCAACAAAUUUUAUAUUUUCGUCAAAAAAAAAUUAUAUUCUUAAUCGUAAUUUUACUCUAUUAAUAAGAGAUAGAUAAAAAUAGAAAAAACAAAUGUGAUUCUAUGCAUAAAAAUAUCAAGAAAAAAAAUAUAGAAAGUUUAGUAAAAAAUAACAUAUAAAAAAUAAAUAAAAAAAUAAUAAAAAGACUUGAUGACAAAACUAACCUCCGAACCAGAUUAAACUGGUGGUUAAAAAAAAUAUAUUAAUUUAUACAUAAAAAUAUUAUAGAAAAUUUAGUCAAUAAAAAAAAAUAAACAUAAAAAAUAUUACUACUAUAGGAGUAUUUACUAAUUCGUCCUUAUAAGUUUUAAUAAUAUUUCAAAUUUCUACCUUUCUACGAAAUAGAAACAUAAUAGAUAUUAAUAAUUUGUUACUCCCUCCGCUUCAAAUUACUUGACGUUUUAGGGAGAAAAAAAAAUCAAAUUACUUGUCGUUUUGAUAAUUUAAGGUUAUAUUUUUUCUAUUAUACCCUAUGUAAAUUCCAAAUAUUUAGAAGUAGUUGUUGAAACCGGAAAAAAUUUAAUAUAUAUUUGGAAAACUAAUUUUUUUUUUACAUAACGUAUUAAAUUUAUUAGAAAGAGAAAGUGUGAGAAAAAAAAUAUUGAUGAAUUAAAAUAAGGGUAUAAUAGGAAAAUAAGGUGCAAAAAUAUACUUUCUUAAUUUCUUUGUUUUUUUUCUAAAACGUUAAGUAAUUUGAAACGAAGGGAGUAUAAAAUAUUUCUAAAUAUUUAUUCUAACUAAAUUUUACUAUCUAUAUCUAUAUGAAUAUUUAUAUCUAUAUUAUUUACCUUGCUCAAAACAAAAAAUACACAUGUCAUUCUCAUGUUUAUUCUCAAUAAUUUAAUAUGAUGUGACGCUUAUGUGUGACACUCUUACUAUGCACAACCUUUUGGCAUUUUGUACCAUCCAAAAUAUGAAAUGAAAAUAUGAAUGUGCGUCAAAACUUUCGAUUAGUAAAUUUUGUUGGUGAUCUAAACACAGGUCAUGAAAUAGAACAUUCUAAAGAUAAAAAGAAGAAAAGAGUUGGGUCUAUAAAGAAGGUGGCAAAGAGUGCCUCAACCAAGUUCAAGCAUUCCUUCGCCAAGAGGGGAGGAAGCACAGCAGGGUUGUAUCUAUCGCUGUCCAGGAUGAUUUUGAUGCUGAAGAGUUACUGGCAGUUGACGUUUUUCGCCAAACACUUAUCUUGGAUGAGCUAUUAUCCGCAAAACAUGAUGAAAGCAUAUGGCAAUUUCGCAGGACAAGUAUUCCAGAGGCAAUAUAGGUCCCUUGCACUGCUGAAAGCUACUCACGACUUAAUGCUGCAAACUUCUUUUUGAAAAAGUUAAUGUUGCAAACUGAUCGCGCAUUGUAUGUCCCGUUUGAAGAUCCCGGUGAAGAGGCUGAAAAAGAUGCAAUCUUCUAGCUUCCACGAAGUAAGUUUUAGUGUUAAUUAUAAAUGUAGUGUUGAUAUUUUUAACUUAAGAAUGACUAUCUCUUGUAGAUAAUGGUUGUGUCUGUGUUUUUCCUUUGUGAACUAACUUCCUUGUUACUUUUGGGUGAAGUGGGCUUUGGAAACAACCCCGUUCCUUAAAUUUCAUGGGCCCUAGACCAAACAUAAGAAAAAAACUUCUUUCAUGGGAAUUAAACCCGGGAUCAUUUGCUGUGAAUAAAGUCUUUCAACCAUUAUGACAUGUAAACCAAUUGUGUUUAAAGUUACGUCCUCAAGGUGUUAACCAUAUCGAAACUUUACAAUUUCGAAUAAAUUUUGCGGAAUUAAUUUGUUCAUACUCAAAUAGAAAAGAUUUCAUAUGUCAAUUAAUCACCAUGAAAUGAAUUUUAAUUAACUUGAUAUUAUUUUUUUUGAUAUCAGAAUUAUGUAUUUAGUAUACGUAUAUGAGAAUAAAAAAAUAAAAUGGGAAUUCUUAGCUGUUAGAAUUAUUAUAGUUUUUUCUUUGGUACAUAAAAUUAGACAUUAAUGAUUUCAAAAAAUAAGCCUAUGUAGAUUUAUUUUUUUAUCAACCACUAAGAAACAAACACAAAUCUUAAAAAAACAUAGAUCUAUAAAAGGCUGCAUGGAAAUAUCACAUCAAUAAGCCCGUGAAAAUAUUCUCAGAUUGAGUUUUGAGAAUUGGUGAUGGAAGUAUUGGAGACAUAGAUGAUGUCGACAAUAACCUGCGUAUUCCAAAUGAUAUUAUGAUACCAAGUUCAGAUAAUCCUAUUGCCUCGAUCGUUACUGCCAUAUAUCCAUCUAUAAUUGAUAAAUUAGGAACUUUGGUGGUAAUCGAUUUUAAUAUACUAGAUGUUUUCUAUCACUUUUUCUUAUCACAAAAGUUUUCAUUUUGGUGAGUGGUAGUAGGCAUGAAUAUAUCCUGACUUAGUGGAGCACCAUAACAUUGUAUCUACCAGCCGACUUGAAUUAAAGAGUUUUUUUUUUUUAUAUUAAAAAAACAUAUAUAAAACUGUGAGAAAUGUUAUAUUUGAACAAGUUAUUAUGGCACUUGUAAUCCUGUAAAUGAAAAUGUUAAUAGGACCAAAUCAAAAUGAAGCAAGAGUGUAACGUAAGAAGAGAUCAUGUAUUGAAGAAAAUAAUAAUGUAAAAUUAAGGACAUGAUCAAAUAAUAAUAAUAAUAAUAAUGUAAUAAGGUAAGAAACUAACAAUAUUGAUGAGUUGGUAAUUAAGAUUGAUGAGUGGGAAUUAAGAAUUAGAUUUGUGAAAGAAAUGAACGGAGUGGCUUGCAUUUCGCAAACACCAACUCAAUGUAUGUAAUGUAAUAAAUAUGAUAAUUAACAAAAACAGCAAAAGUCUAUAAUUGUUAAGAAGUUGUACACCAACCUUAUCUGGCUUUGCCAUUUUGACCAAACUAUCUCAAUCAUAAUAUCAUUUAAUCAGAUUUAUUCGGAUAUCAUAUAUUUGUGUUUUUUGCCUUUGCUUUUUCCAAACCCCUACCUACAUUCUUGUUUCAUAGGUACCAUUUCAUCUCUCCUAUCCUAAGAUUCUAUUCUAUCAUUUUUCAUCAUGUACAAACUAUUCUUACCUUUCUUGUUUGCUUAAUUCAUCUGCAUUUAAUCAUUUCCUUUCUUGUUUUUUAAGGUAUAAUAGGUGCACAUGAAACCUCAAUUGUGGGGAUUUGAUCUAUGCUAGUGCUUGAUUUUCUUCUGCCUUAAAGGCUGUGUUUGAUCAUUCGAGUUAUCUUGCAAUAUUCAAUCAAUCAUGUGUGACCUUAUGUCCGCACCAGCACCAAUCAAAAUUGGUCAGUCUAAUUCAAUUCUUUAAUUUCAUAUUUCAGUGCUUUCGGAUUUUAUUUUUACCGGAAUAUUUAUGUUAUUAGUAUAUGAUAUACUAAUUGUGCGUGAAUUAUAUGUAUUCUACGGAGUAUAUGGUUAGAUUUUGUACCAUCCAAAAUAUGAAAUGAUACAAAAUCAGAAAUAUGAAUGUUUGCCAAAACUUUCAAUAAGUAAAUUUUGUUCGUGAUCUAAACACAGGUCAUGAAAUGGAACAUUCUGAAGAUGAAAAGAAGAAAAGGGUUGGGUCUAUAAAGAAGGUGGCAAAGAGUGCCUCAACCAAGUUCAAGCAUUCCUUCGCCAAGAGGGGGAGGAAGCACAGCAGGGUUGUAUCUAUCGCUAUCCAGGAUGAUUUUGAUGCUGAAGAGUUAUUGGCAGUUGACGCUUUUCGCCAAACACUUAUCUUGGAUGAGCUAUUACCCGCAAAACAUGAUGAUCCUCAUAUGAUGCUAAGGUAACACUUGUCGCAUAGUGUAAUUUUGAGUCAUAUAUAUGAUGCUAAGGUUACACAGUUUUUGAUAUCAACCGUUCUCAAGCUACAAAAAAAACAAAAGCAGCUUAAAAUGAUCUCGACAGUUAAUUUGAUAUUAGACGAUUGUAAUCUAAAACUCGCACCAAAUCCUUUUUUUAGUGAUAGCAUGCAUGAGUAGUUUUAUUUUAUGCCUUGAGAUUUGAUUUCAAUGCUCUAAUGGACCUAUAAUUUUACUGCACCAUGUUUUAGAUUUUUAAGGGCAAGAAAAUAUGACAUAGAGAAAACAAAACAAAUGUGGUCAGAUAUGCUUAAGUGGAGGAGUGAAUUUGGUGCUGACACUAUCAUGGAGGUAUAUUCAAGUGGAAAAAAAUCAUGUUCAUAUCAUAUACUUCUGCAUAACUUUAUUUACUUAUGUAUUCUUAUCGUACAUUGUUUUCUGUUAUAAGGAUUUUGAAUUCGAGGAAAAAGAUGAAGUUCUAAAAUACUAUCCACAAGGGCAUCAUGGAGUUGAUAAGGAUGGUAGACCUGUUUACAUUGAAAGGUUGGGUCAGGUUGAUUGUAACAAGUUGCUGCAAGUAACAUCGGUGGAUCGUUAUCUCAAGUACCAUGUAAGAGAGUUCGAGAGGACUUUUACUGAGAAGUUGCCUGCGUGUUCAAUUGCCGCAAAGAAGCACAUUGACCAAAGCACAACUAUCUUGGAUGUGCAAGGAGUGGUGUGUACAAAAUUCUACUUCUAAGACUAUUUUAUAAUUAUGAAUAUCAUAUCAAUUGUUAUAAAUGAUUUUUCAUAUUGAAAUAAGUUUCUCACAAUUGCUGACUAGCAUGCUUGGUGCUCAGGGUCUUAAAAGUAUGAACAAAGCUGCAAGAGAUCUCCUCCAGAAGCUUCAGAAGAUCGAUGGUGACAACUAUCCUGAGGUAUACUGCUUUAUCUAUUCUACCAGGCGUGGUCGAUGUUGUUAAUCGCAUAUUUCAAAAAAUGGUGGUUUGUUCAAAUUCUGCUACGCAAAAGUGCUAGUAUCCUCUAUCUGACAACAUUUUGUACUAAUAGCCUAUUAUGAAACAAUAGUAUUUUGUUCAAAUUCUGCUAUGCUAUAGCACCACUAUUUAAUAACACAGGCAUGAAUUGACUUGUAAAUUGACCCUAAUGGAACAUUUUUUUCCACACAGUCCCUCAACCGUAUGUUCAUCAUCAAUGCUGGUUCUGGAUUUAGGCUAUUGUGGAACACUGUUAAGUCAUUCCUAGAUCCCAAGACCACCUCCAAAAUCCAUGUAAGCAUUUUUAGGCUACUUAUAAAUUUGUACCUUUGGAGUAUGGUCCAUUUUUAGUUAACUUGUUAAGCAAGGAACUGAACAUAUUAAUGAUCUAUUGACCAGGUCCUAGGCAACAAGUACCAGAGCAAGUUGCUUGAAAUCAUUGAUGCCAGGUUAAAUUUAACUCCUCCCUAUCAAUCAAAUUAAUUGAUUUUAUUUAUUUAUGAGUACUACUUAUGACAAUGAAUAACACCUUAAAUUGUUUAUGUAAAUUUACCAGUGAACUUCCAGAUUUCUUGGGUGGUACAUGUACUUGUGCAGAUAAAGGUGGAUGCAUGCUAUCUGACAAGGGUCCAUGGAAUGAUCCAGAGAUCUUGAAGGUAGUUUUGCUGCAAAAAUGAUGAAUUUUAUUUGUGACAUAAAGAUUAGUAUUAGCAAAGUAAAACGAUAAAGUAACGAUUUUCUUUGGAUGAAUUAGAUGGCUCAAAAUGGUUUUGGCAAAUGCUCGAGAUUGCCCUUAUCCGCACAGAUUGAGGAGAAAACAAUCCAACAAGUUGAAACUGUAUAUCAGAAGGAAUACAAAGAUCCAUUUCCAGAGUCAUUCGAUGUUCAUUGCUUACCCCAUGAUGAACCUAAAUCCUAUGCUGUAAGUUUUAGGAAACUACCUUCCUAGUUUGUUUAUCUUAGACCAAGUUUCAAGCAUAGUUAGACCAAAUUUCAUGACUUGAUGAAAACUAAACUAAAAUUCUAAUCCCAUUGUACCUUUUUCUUAAUAUUGUGUGUUGCAGGUUGCAAAGAAAUGUGAUGCUUAUCAGUAUGAUUCCUAUGAUGUUCCAGUACAUGACAAAACAGUGGAUUCAUCAUGGAAGAAAACAAUACAACAUGACAAAUAUGCACUUUCUAAAGGUAUUAUACCUUUUGAGUUUCUGUUAAAUAAACAGCUUAAUUAAGCGCUUAUAGUAUAUGUGUUUAUCAAACUAUCAAACUGUUUUUUAUAAAAAUUAUAAGUUGUUUUCAUAAGUUAUCCUUUAGAGUAUAUAAAAAUAGCUCAAAAACAGCUUAUAAACAUUAUUUUCAUAAGCUCUUCCAAUGAGUCCCAAAUAAGUCAACUCAAACAUACCCUUCAUACAUUAUUCUUCCCAUUUAUAUGUGUUGAAAUUGAUGUAUCUAAUAAAAAUAGAUGAUAGUGCAUUAGAGAAAACUAGGAUAAUCUAAAAUUGCUGCAUAUUUCUAGAUUAACUAAGCAUAGAAACAUGUAUAACAAUAUAUUAUAGAAAAGUCAAAUAAAAGUCUAGAUAAUUCUACUUCCAAAAGCAUCUUUAGACACAUACCAAUAAGUAAACUCGUCUGCAAUUGUAUUUAAGCUUUUAAGAUCGAUAUAAAGUCAAUAAUGUUCAAACUUCACCAUACUACAUUUCUCCUCCUAAAAUAAAUUAAUUACUAAUGUGUUGCCUCUUGUCAGAUGUUACAUAUUAGUACUCGACUGCUAGUUCUCAUACUGUACUAUAAUAUGAACUAAUUUUUCUAUUAUUAAAAAAAAAAAAAAUUUCCUUAAUGUGCAGAUUGUUUCCCCAACAAUGAUGGAAAGAUUUCUGGUGGUGGGAUUAGCAAACAAUUUGUUGGUGGAAUAAUGGCCCUUUUGAUGGGAAUUGUGACCAUGAUUCGCAUGACAAGGAGCGUGCCAAAGAAAAUCACAGAAGCAGCACUUUAUGGUGGCAACUCAGUGUACUAUGAUGGGCCCAUGAUGAAAACAACACCUGCUGCAGUUUCAAACAAUGAGUAUAUGGCCAUGAUGAAACGCAUGGCUGAACUUGAAGAGAAAGUUACUGUUCUCAGUGUUAGGCCUAUCAUGCCUCCAGAAAAAGAGGAAUUGCUUAAUAAUGCUCUCUCUAGGGUCAGUACUCUUGAACAAGAGUUGGGUGCAACCAAAAAGGUACGUACUGCUUCUUUAUUUUAUUGUAAACCGAAAAGUAUCUCAUUCUUCAGAAAUGCGAAAACUAAUCAUUCGAGUUAGUUGACAUACAUUUAAAAAGAUUAUGUUUUUUCAUACACAUUGGUUAGAGAUAGAAUCGCUGAUUAAAUGUUUAAAAGACUCAAAUAUCUAUCACUUCACCUAUGUCAGUCACACCAUGUUUGUGAAAUCGGUCAAUUUAGUCUCUAUUAUGAAUAUGCUAGGACUUUAGUAGCUAUAUUGAUUAGUUUUAUAUACUUUAGGCACUAGAUGAUGCUCUUGCUCGCCAAGUAGGACUCCAAGCUCAGAUUGACAAGAAGAAAAAGAAGAAGUUGGUAAGUUAUAUCUGCUUUGUAUCUAUCUUCAUAAGGUUAUAGUAUAGACUAGUAUAGAGUAUGUAUUUUUGUUCAUAAACUUGACUUUAUUGGGUUUGUGUGAUUAUUACAGUUCCGCUUGCACUGGUAAAGGGACAAUUGUGUUUGUUUUGUGACCUCCAAAAAACAAUAGUUGUAAAGUUGGAGGGUUUCUAUAUAUUCAGCCCGGUCGAAUGAAUGCCUGCAGCAGCAUUCUUCUAAGUUCUUCAUCUAGCAUUAUAUAAUUAUAAUUAUUAUUAUUAUUAUCCCAUUAAUUAAUAUUAAUAAAGUUUGCCAUCUUUUGACAAUUGUGUAUAUGUUAUAUUAUUGAGUCUCAAACCCAUUGAUAGUGACAUUUGGUUUUGAAUAUCAUUGUAAUUGUAACCCCUUUGCCUAUGCGCAAUCGAUCAUGAUAUAAAAGAAGUUUUCCCUAGUAUAUUAUUCAUUCAUUCAUAGUCUUUAGAAAGCCGACGGAUAAUUCACACCAAUACUAUGGUUACAGUAUUAACCGGCCGACGCAUCUAUCUGUUUUAAAAUAAAAUGUAGUUUAAACUUUAAAAAUGAAAUAAUGUUUUGUAAAAAAAAAUAAAUAAAUAAUGUUGUAAAAAAAAAAAAAAAAAACUCUUAUUGUCAACAAAAAAAAAUUACACUUUUACUAAAUUAACUUAGAAACAAAGAAUAAUUACUAGUGUAUUUCCUACCAUCAUCAUCAUAUAAUUAGAGUGCGUAUUAUUAUUUUUUUAAGAUAAUUUAGAAUACAUAUUACUCCAUUCAUCCCACAAUAAUGAGUCAUGUGACAAUUUCUAAAAGUUUUUCAAUAUAUCUAAAAGUGAUUUUUUUUUUCUUAUAUUAAAGAAUAGAAAAAGUAUAUUUGUUUUUAUUUACUAAUAAAAAAAUAUAGUUAAAACAAAAUAUCUAAAUCUAAAUAGUGCAUAUAAUCUAAUUAUUCUUAUCAUUGUUUUGAGAUGAAGGUUAUAGAGAGGACAAAAAAAAAUGAUAUAGCCUAGCCUCCAAGAUAUUCCUUUUGACCAGCUCUGCAAAUAGAUCGUAUUAAAGAUAUUUGCUUUUUUCUUUCAAAAAAAAAAAAAAAGAUAUUUGCUUUAGAUGUGAUACUAUUUCCUACCAACUGCUCUAGUGUUUGAUUUCGGUGCCUCAAAAGCUCUGCUGGAUUAGACACAAUUUAAAACAUACUUUUUCACCUUAGAACAAACAACGCGUGCUUUGUAAACCAAAAAAACGAACAUACUUGAUGCCAACACACAUGAAUAAACAAACGAUAUAACAAUGUUUUACUUUUGCAGAAAGCACUUCAACAAAAACCAGGACAAGAUAGAUAGAUAAGCAGGAAACCGUGUGAAACUAAAGCUUUUCAACCAAGGAAAACAAACCAGAUACAAUGAUAAACAAAGGUUUCCACAACCAAAAACUGAAAGAGCUUGUGUUUAACAAGCUAGCAAAGAUGCUAUUCUGGAUAUACACACAUGUGAAGUAAUUGUCCGUUUAGUUUUUACUCAUAGAACACUGAAAAACAGUGGAUAGAGUACAACAAGGGUACAAUAUUUGUAAAGUAAAAGUACAACCGUGGUCUCAGAAACAUCCUCCUCUGGGGAGUAUCUUUCAAUCAGCCAUAUAUACCUCUACCAGCAAAACUUCUUUUUCUGAUUGAAACACAGCAAAUGAAGGAAACAGAAAUAUCAGAAAUUUGAAAAAAUGUCCCAUUUAUAAUAAGAUUUUAGCUUUCAUAAGAAAAGAUAUAGAUGCCAACUUACCCGAAACCUGGCUUCUUCUUGGCGGUCAAUGUAAGCCAGCAGCUCUUCCUGCCUCAUUAACGCUUCGUAGAGAGCCUAUGCAUAAUCCAGAAAAUCAAAUAUUUAGGACCUAACUUAGGUAAGGAACCAAUGAGACAGUGUAUUUUUCAAAUCAUCACACUAUAGCAAACCAUUUUUGAAAUGCAAAAACCAAUAACCACAGUUCCAAGCACACCAUAAUUUGCUAUACUACACUGAAUGCUACAUGCAAUCAGCAAGAAGCUAAACAUGUUUUACAUUUUAAAUUUAAAGAUAAGAAUACAAGAUAAAACAAUGUAUCUCAAUGGUUUAGACAUGUACUCUGCUAUUAUAAAAUUAAUUUCCAGGACUGCACUUUUUUUGUGGUAAACAAAAAUACAGCAUCCUACCUUUUUAGUAGCAAUUAACUCUGCUUCCAAAGCAUCCACCCGGCAGACAGCAGCAUUCAACAAUUCCUCCUUCUCGUAAGGCAUUUCAGAUGGCUUAGAUUGGAGUGUGUCAACCUUCUCUUCAAGCUCACCUAACCUCUUCAGCAUUGAGGGAAGGAGAAUUUCCUCUGAUUGUGCUUGGCUUGUUGAAGGAAGACCUUCCACGUUUGCUGCCUCAACAGUUGGUUUUGAAGUUCUCCGAUCAUCAUUAGAUGAUAUUGCAGGAAGUUUGUUGGUCACGCGACAAGCAAAUUGACGGAAAAGAGCAAAUAACGUCAAGAAGAAAGCAGCCAGUGCUAACCAAAUCCGAGCUUUAAAUCCUUCUGGAGUAUUUUUUUUGUCAGGAAGAGGACGUGCUCCUGUAACUUUUGCUGCAGAAAGUUACAUUAAAUAAUUAAAAUCAAGAAACCAAGCAACGCCAUCAAGCACUAGCUCUCCCAAAAGCUACAACUCUUAAAUACUAACCCAGGAAUGGUUUAAAUCUCUAACAGACCCCUGGUCGAAAUUUUUAUGUGCAAAUGAAAUCUGGGUGCUUAGUUGUCAAUCUUGGCUAACGGUGUGGAAUGAUCGGCCCCGAAAAAGCUAUUUCCCAGUAUAAAUGAUCUAUACCACAACCAUGAAUGCUAAACCUAAGACAUAGUGGCAUAGUCUAGACACAAUCAUAAAGCCUAUCAAAAUAUCAUACUGGCAGAACUAUUUGUGCAAUUGGGUGAAACGUGAAAGUUUAGUGAACAAGCAAAAUAAGAAGAAACAUCAAAAGAGUGCAUCAAUAAAUGCCAAGACGACACCAACCUUUUAAUGUAUGAGACCUCUGUAGAGAUACUUGCCUCUUCCAUUCAGCAUCAACAGGUUUGUCUACCAUUGGAACGUAUUCAUCAUACCCAGACAUGUUACUGGCAUAGCUUGCCUUUCCUACUAUCUUAGCCUGACAAACAACACAAUGUGAACGAGUAUUAUAAUGGAAACAAAACAGGGAAAAUUCUCUGAACAGGUUUCUUAAUGCUAUACUUUGAUUAUCGUCAUCGUCACAAUAUCUUCAAAUAUUGUGGACUGCAACAAACAACCACAACAACCAAAGCCUUUUCCCACAUUAUGGAGUCAGCUAUGUAGAUCACACGACACCACAACAUCCUGUCAGAUUAGUUAUUAAUAUAUUUAAAGUAAAUAGUCAAUUUGUAUAAUAGGUCAAGACUCACUUCCUCACGAACAGGGGUCAGUCUAAGGUGCGAAUAGCUCUUCAUUGCUUUUGGAGAACCUAUAUCUUCAGCUUCUGACCCUGAUUCAGCAGUAGAUGUAUCGCUACCCUUUACCUGUUAGGUGAGAGUGAUAUACAUGAUAAAUAGACCGUUGAGAAGAAUGUGUGAAGCACCAAAUUGGCUCCACUUGGUUAAGGCAACAAUUAGAAAUGCAAAGAGUUACCAUUGGGUAUCGUGGCUUUGCAUACGCAAUAACCUUCCCUUCACUGUUGAGAACCUUUACCACUUGCCUAGCCCGCCGGGGUUCACCAUUGAGAACCAUCUACAAAAAGUGCAUACACAAUAAACUGUCAGCCUAUUACAAGUCAGACUGCUAUAGUAUAACAUCUGUCAAAAUCUAUCAAAAAGAUAAACCAAGAAUAGCAUAUAACCUUCAAUAUUUCAGGAUUUUUCCAUGGCCCUUUAUCAGAUCUAAGGCAACCUCCCUCAUCUGCACAAGAGCAGGUACCUCCAAGAAAUUCUGGCAACUCACUUUAUUAAGAGUACAAUGUGUUAGGCUUCUUAAAGAAUGCAUUUGUCAAUAGAAAGGAAAAAUAUCACGGAGCAAUUAUGUACCUGGGAUCAAUUACUUCAAGUAAUUUGCUUUGAUACUUGUUUCCAAGAACCUAAGUAACGUUUCCAACCAAGCAUCAAGCAAUGUCAGCAAUUUAUACUAUCAUUAAACAGAGUUUUAAACAGCUCGAAGAAGACAUAUAACAUACAUGGAUCUUUGAAGUUGUUUUGGGAUCAAGAAAAGACUUGACAGUGCUCCACAACAGUCUAAAUCCAGGGCCGGCAUUUAUAAUAAACAUUUGGCAGAGUGUCUGUAUCAGAACAAAAGAACCAGUAAUCACUAUAAACAUAGUACAUCACCUUUGGAAUUUCCAAUAACUGGUUAAAUAACAUUAAAAGAAAUAGCAAAAGCAAUAUACAGAAAGCGAUAUUUCACCUCAGGGUAAUUGUCACCGUCGACCUUCUGCAAUCGCAUAACGAGUUCCCGGGCUGACUUUGUAAAAUUCUUGAGGCCCUGAUAAUUGAAUCAUAAAAUAAAAAUGGUUUAAAUGAUUUAGAACUUCAGUUUACAGUUAAUGCAAAGAGAAAUAAUUACUGGAAACAUACCACUCCUUGAACAUCUAAGAUUGUGGUGCUUGAAUCUAUGUGCCUCUUGGCAGCAAUAGUGCAAGCAGGAAACUUUAUUGCAAAAGAUUUCUCAAACUCUUGCACAUGGUACUUUACAUAUCUAUCCAUAGUUGUAACUUGCAUAAGUUUGUUGGGAUCAACUUUACCAAGCCUUUCAAUAUACACAGGCCUUCCCUCCUUAUCUACACCAUGAUGGCCAUGUGGAUAAUAUUUCACAACUUCAUUCAACUCUUCGAACUCAAAAUCCUGAUGCAAAAAAUUAAAUAUUUAGGUAAGGCCAAUCAAUCACUUUGCAUGGGAAAACUUUAGAGGGCUAAGUCUAUAUUUUGAUAUAUAUUGCAGAAAAAAUUUGAUAUAACAUCAUAGAGAUGAUUGCAUAACAUUUGAACCGCACUAAAUUUAUUUUUAGAAAAAUAUGUAGCAAUAUCUUCCUUAAUUUAGAAACUUAAAAUAAGCUCUCUCCUCCUCUCCAAAAUCAUCAAUCCAAACAAACCCUAAAAGUAUAGCAUAUCUUGUUCCCUACAGAAAUGGAAGACAAACGAAACGAAAACCCGAAAUUGUAAGUGCAUUUUACCUGCAUAAUUGUGUCAGCACCAAACUCCUUCCUCCAUUGUAGCAUAUCACCCCACAUAUGUUUUGCUUUUUCAAUAUCAAAUUUCCUUGCUUUCAGAAAUCUAUAAAUAAAUAAAUAAAAUAUAACAAAAAUGAAGUAAAUACUAGAAUUAUAUUAUAAGAUCAUUAAUCGAAAUUAGUCGAAAUAUAUAUCAUAGAAAAGUUAACCUUAACAUCAUAUGGUAAUCAUCAAAAGCUUGAGGAAGCAACUCAUCCAUGAUCAAAGAUUGACGAAAAGCAUCGACAGCUUGAAGCUCUUCAACAUCUCUAACAUCCUCAAUUGAAACAGAGCUAACACGUCCAUCACUCUUUCUCCUACCACUCUUCUUUCUAAGAGAAUGUUUGAAUUUUGUGGAAGCACUUAAUGCUUUCUUUUUUAGAGAUCCAAUUCUGGUUCUCCUUUCAUCUUCUGAAUUCUCAAAAUCAGAUCUUCUCUCACGUUUCUCAUCACUUCCCGAAAACCCCUCAAAACCUGUCAAAUUUCACAAUUCAAAUCAUCAAUUACACAAAUUCAACAGAAUCUUGUGUGUGAGUGUGUAGUGUAGUGUAGUGUAGUGCAUGUGUAAGAAUCAUCGAAUUGAAAAUUGAAAAUUGAGACUCACAAGGUCUGGCGAAACGAUCCAGGGGUCCGGACAUUGUUGUAAUCGAAGAUCAAAUUGAGAUCGGUGAGAAACAAAAAAGCAUUAACAAAUUGAGAAACCCUAAUUUGGAGAGAGAGUUGAAAUUGAAAAAUGAAAUGAGAGAGAGAGAGAGAGAGAGAGAGAUUCUUGUUGUUGUUGAAGAGAGGAACAAAGUAAGAAUAAGAAGAGAAUUUAUUAUUUAAAGAGUAAAAAAAUAAUAAUAAUAAUAAUAUAAAAAAGGAAAAUGGAUGAUUAACGUCGGAGACAGCUAAAGACAGAGGGCGCGUGGUGUUUAUGUUUCUUAAAUUUCUUUCCAUCUUUGUUUCCCAAUAAUGUGUUGUUGAUUGACACUGCUGAGCUGAAUGAAGCUGAUGAAAGGGUAAAGAGAGUGGGACCCACUAGAUAGAUAUGAUUCAUAGGAUUCUUAUCAUAGGGCUCAGAGAGAGAAGAGACCCUUGCCCUUGGGAGGGACGUUUUGUCAAACACUGCAGCACCAGCUUUUUACUAACGUGUCCAUAUCCUUUUUACUGCGCCUCCUAUUUCAGAAUCCUACCUUGGAUUUUUUUUAAAAAAAAUUGUUAAACACCAUUUCAGACUCUGGUUAAACAUACCGAUAAAAAAAAACAAUGUGUAUUUCUAUGCUAAAAACUUGCGUAUUUAAUUUUUUAAAAAUAUAACAGUUGUUUUUUAAUAUUAAUUUUAUCUUUAAUAUUUAGUAUAUUUUAUUUUUAAUAGUCGUGGUUCCUCUUAGUAAAGUUUGACCAAGAAAUUGUUCCACCCAAAAAUUGAACCCGGUUCUCCCGAAAUUCGUCCUUUUUGGUGAACCAAUGUAUAAGCCAUUUUAAUGUUCAACCGGACCUUCAAAUUGUUAGAGCCGGCCCUAAAUUCGAUCAUCAAUUUCAUUGUAAAUGCGGAUGAAAAAAAGUAUUGUGCUUGGAAAGUACUCCCUCCGAUCUUAAUUAUAAGCAAAUUCUACUUUUUAGAUUCAUUUGAAUAUCAAUGUAUCUAGACUUACUUAAGGUCAAAUACAUUGAUUUUACAAUGAAUCUAAAAAAUAGAAUUUGCUUAUAAUUAAGGCAGGUGGAAGUAUAUCAUAUAAAAGUACUAGUAUUUUAUUAAAGGAAUAAAAAAAAUACUUCAAUUAUUGCAUAGAAAAUUGUAUUUAUUAUUAGGGCGUGUAUUAAAAUAUUCAAAAAAGGAAACUUUAAAUCAAAGAACACCAAAAAUUUAAUUUUAAAAAGGCAAAAUAUAAUUUUCUAUUAAUAUAAAUUAUAGAGAAUCAACAAUAUUCUAUUAAUGUUCAUUUUUUAAAAGGUAAAGAUUGGAAUACAGUUAUUUUUAGUCAAAAAUUGGAAUACAGUUUCCAACUAAAAAAAUACUUGUGAUCAAUUCAACACAUAUUUGAAGGACGGUAUCAUCCAACAACUAUAUGAGAUAAUAUUCAAUUGUUCAGAGAAGAGUUUGUUGAAUUCCAAAAUAUUUGCACGUGUGAGGCGGAUAAAUCUUUAAAAAUAACGAGUACAACGACAACAAAUGAACUUAGGUUCGGUCGAAAAGACAAACAUAAACACUAAUUUUCUAACAUUUCUAUUAAAAAAAAAAAACUUCAACAACAAGCAAUAUUAAUCAUCUAGAUUUGCAUUUUCUUUAAAAAAAAACGGAUCUUGAAUAAUAAACUCUUAUCAUUCCCUGAUGCAAUAUUUUGGAUUCGGGUUUGUGAAAAGGUGGAUAAUUUCAAAACUAUAGUUGGUUUUUGGUGUGACCGAAUAGCUACAAGCAAUCACAUUUUUCUUAUAUUUUUUAGUCUUUGACAGAGCUACACACAAUCACUUAACUUUUAAUAAUUGUUCUUUAAAAAAAACUACUUUUAAAAUUAUGUAUAUCUUUGCUGAUAGUUUUGUUUAUAGAAUAGAAUUUUUUUAAGAAAUAAAAAAAAAAACUAAAAUUAGGAGGACAUAAAUCUAAUCCAAUAAAAUAUAAAGACAAAAAAGAAAAAAAAAAAUCAAAUUAUAUAAGACUUCAACCUAUAUAUUCUCGUUCUAUGUCACUACUUCACUCCAAAAAUCAACAAUGUGCAUAUCAUGAAAUAUAUUACAUCUAUUUAGACAUCUUCCAAGUCAUUGUUCAAACUAAAGAUCUUGUAAUUGCUCGUCUCAAUUGACUCGUUGUCUUUCAUAAUCAAUGAUAAUAAGUUCGGCCAAUGUAAUAAAAAAAAAUAUAAUGUUCAUACUACAACACACAAGAGCUCAUCGUAUAGCUUAGUUUUGGAAACAAUUUUUUUCCGGUCAUUUUUCUAGAAUGUAUAUUUUUGUUUUAAAAAGCUCAUACAUUUUAAAAAAAAAUUGUGAAGUUUUGGAAUAAAAAAGAAGUUAAAAGUUUUUAUUGUUUUUGACACAAAAAGAAGUUAAAAGUUAAAGAUGAUAAAACGUUACUUUUGGAGUGAAAAGACCAAAUCUAAAUUUAUAUUUGACAGUUUUUUUCCUCAUCCCACGUUUCCCUUCUAUCCUCAAAACACGCAAAAAAAUUUGGAAAACAUUUCAUGAAUUUAUUUUAGUGUCAAUUCACUGAAAUUUACACUGAAUUUUUUUUUUCGCAAAACAUUUUCCGAAAUUUUCUGCUUGUUUUGGAAUUGGAAAAGAAACGUGAAGGGUGGGAAGAGAAUUUUUCAUAUAUUUUGUUCACUUUUGAAGUUCAGCCCAUUAGCUGUCAAAAAAAAAAGAAUUCAGCCCAUUAAAUUGGAUAUUUUCUCUUUAGGCCCCCAUGGGUCUUUUUCACCCUCUGGAUUUUACUUUUUUGCCCUUCAAUAAAAACUUCGGUUUCUACGAAUCGAAUUUUUUUUGCCUUGAAAUAAAAAUUCGGUUUCUGUUAACCGAAAUUUUCCUGAAUUUGAACUAGAAAAAACUCCGGUUUCUGCGAACCGAAGUUUUUAUCAAGGGCAAAAUUGGAAUAUUGGGGGUAUAAAAGAUACAUGGGGGGCCUGAAGAGAAAAUAUCAUUAAAUUGUUGUUGUAUUCGGCCCAGGCCCAUUAAUUUUUGUCCUUUUGUUUGUAGAUUAGGCUUAGCCUUUUUUUGUCUCCCUUGAUAUUUUUGGUUUACUUUUCGCUUGUUUUGGUACAUGGACCUAAAUGAAACAAACAAUAGAUUUUGUACAUGGAUCUAAAUAAAAAAGGUUAAGUAAUUUUUUUUUAGAUUUACGUUUGCCACCCUACCGGUUAUUCACGCAUCCUACGCCUUCUUUUUUUAUCGUUCCGCUACUUAAAUAGCGAACGUUAUAAAAAUAAGGUGUUUUGGGGGGUAGGGAGCGCGCCAGAAUGAAUGGGUGGCAAAAGGAGAUCUCAAAUUUUAUUUUUUUGGUAUAGAGAUCUCAAUUUUUUAUCCCUACAAAUAUUAAGUUUUUCGGUUUAUGUUCCUAUAAAAAAAAUUAACAUGGAAUUUUAGUCUUUGCUAAAUUUAUUUUUUAGUUAAUCUUAUAGUAUCUUCAAUAAGAGUAUUAAAGAAUGUUUUAUAGACUAAUGAUUCAUACAUUUUUUUUAUCACUGGAGUUUCAUGACGUGGAACAGGCGAAUGCGUGUAACCGCAUGCACUCAUUCAGGGUGCACCUAAUCCAAAUCCAUUGAAAACAACUGAACAUGAACAUGAAUAUGUGUAAGCAAAAGCUGUGUUUUUGGUCUUGAACUAGCUUUGAGUUGAUGAGACAUACAAUUGAGACAAUAGAGAAAAGAAAAAAAAAAUGAAAAGUUCAUGUGUGAUUUUGGCAAUUUUGUGUGUUACACCAAACCUAAAUGCAUUCGAAGUUUGUUUUACUUUGACAGAGUAAAUCGAAGAAAGAUUACUUGAAUGUUAAUUUGUAACUAGAAAAUCAUGAUAGGUACAUUUAGAUGAGCAAAACUACUAAAAACACACAUAAUUUGGCUUCAAUUUUCAUCACACUUUUGACAUGAAUUUAGCCACAAAAUUAAGUUAUAUUUUAUUUUCUAUUAGAAAAUUCAAUUUCCUUAAACUAUAGGGAGUAGGAAGGCUUUGUAGAAAAUGAGUCUUGGUAGAAAAAUAAUAGUAUGCUUGUUGAUGAUCAUCAUAAUAGGGUGUAAUAAGAUUGAUGGUAGAGAACCUGUGCUGCAUAGGGUUGGAGGUGGAAAGUAUACUUGGAAACCAAAAAUUAACUUCACACAAUGGGCAAAUAAUGAGCAUUUCUACAAGGAUGAUUGGCUAUGUAAGUUCAUUCACCAUAUUUUCAUAUCUUCAUAUUGAUUGAUAUUUAGAAACAUUUUAUUUUGCUAACAAAUUUCCUUUUGUGUACAUAGAUUUUGGUUUUGAUAAGCACAUUUAUAAUGUUCUUGAGGUGAACAAAACAAGUUAUGAGAAAUGUAUUGACACUGGUUACAUAAACAACAUCACUAGAGGAGGAAGAGAUGUUUUCCAACUUUCAGAAGAGAGGACAUAUUACUUUCUAUGUGGUAGAGGCUUUUGCUUUCAAGGAAUGAAGGUUGAAAUAAAUGUUGAACCACUUGAACUACCACUACUACUUCCUCCAACAAUUCCGAAUAAGGCCGCCGCGGACUCAUCAUCAAGAAAAAUGAAUUACAUUCUAUUGUCGCGAAUAUCACAUUCUAUUACUUGCAGUUACCAUUUCGUCCACAUGUUUUACAUGUUUGUUUUUCAUUGUCAAAUUUAUAUGUUUUAGUUAAAUUACAUGAAGCUGUAGACUUGUAUGACUCUGAUCGUAAGAACAUAUAAUUCAAUGAGAAGAAUAUAACACUAUUUAUUAGAAGACUCAUAUUCGAGAUUAAAAAUCGAUCAAACCAAAUUUGAAAUUCAUACUACGUUUUAAUCGGACCGCGAUGUAGUAAUUAAGAUUAACUUCACAUAUUAACCAUCUGUCUUCCAAUUCAACUGAUUAAACCGACCAAUUGUAUUUAAAUUUUUAAAACAAGGGUAAAAAAAUUUAACGAAAUCAUAAGAUGCCAUGUGGUUUGGAAGUAAUUUUCAAAUAAGACAUAUUAUUAUGUCCUAUGUGAUUGUUGGUUCCCAGCUGUAUCUUGAUUCCAUACUUGAAUUGUACAGUCUCCCCAUCCUACUUCUACUAUUACUUACUACUACUUUGUUUAUUUUCUUUGAAAAAUGUUAUUUAGACACAAUAUUUUAACAAAAAUACAAUAAAAUUACAUUUUUUGUUUUUUUAAUAUUUAUUGCACACUUCGAUAUUCGUGAUGUGAGUGGAGAAAGUAUGAUGUCGUAUUUUUGUCAAACUUUUUUUGUGUUUACAUAAUACACCUCAUUUUCUUUCUAGUUACUUCUUCCACUUUCCAAGAUAAACCCUAUUUUCUUUAUUAUUAUAUAUCUAUCUAUCACUCAAAAGAAAAGAAAGAAAACAAAGAAAAAAGCAAAAUAAUUCAGGACCCUCCCUUUUUCUUUAUUUUAUUAUCUUUUCUAGAUUUCAAUGUACGACUUAUAUUAUUUUUUCAUCAACUUGUUAACUUUUUUGUUCUAUAAAUUCACUGCUUCAAACUCAUUCACUCCUCUUCCACUUUCCUCUUCUUUCUCUCUUUUAAGAUAUUUUCUUUCUUGUUUAGCUUUUGGUUUUUCCCUUUCAAAACUCUGUUUCGCUGUUUUUCCUCUGUUUUCUCCUUCAAGCUUCAAAAUCUUAAAUGCUUAACAUAUUGUUAUUGAUGUUUGAGAUUCAUGAAUCAAAUUCUGAGUGAAAUUUACCUUUCUGGUUGUAUGAUCAAUUCUACUGUUAGGCGCAGGACCCAUUUAGUUCAAUCUUUCUCUGUUGUUUUUCUUUACUGGCUUUACUACGUUUCAUGAUUUCUAUUUUCUAAUCUCUUAUAUUACUAUUAAUUUUCAUUUUUCUGCAAAUUUUUCUCUUUUUUCUUCUUAGUUUUUGGGUCCUGUGUCCAGUUUGUUUACUCUGUUUCUCUGUUCUGUGCUCUGUUUUUGUGUUCUGUUUCCUCUGUUCUGUGUUCUGUUUCUGCAACAACUAAACUCUCUCUAUCUCACAUGGCUUCUUCAAGUGGUACAUCUUCAGGCUAUUCUACACUACCAAACUCAGGUUCAGAGGGAGAUUUGAUGCUUCUAAUGGAUCAAAGAAAAAGAAAGAGAAUGAUAUCAAACCGCGAAUCGGCAAGAAGAUCUCGAUUAAGGAAACAAAAGCACUUAGAUGAUCUUGCUGUUCAAGUGAGUCAGCUUAGAAAUGAGAAUCAGCAGAUUCUAACUUCUGUUAACCUCACAACACAAAGAUUCUUGGCUGUUGAAUCUGAAAACUCUGUUCUUAGAGCUCAACUGAGUGAACUCAACAACAGAUUUGAGUCAUUGAAUGAAAUCAUCAACUUCAUGAAUGUUACAAAUGGUGUUUUUGAACCUGUUGUUGAUAAUAAUAACAAUUACUUCAUCCCUUUGAAUAUGGCUUAUUUGAAUCAACCAAUCAUGGCUUCUGCUGACAUGAACAUGGUGCAUUAUUGAUAUGAGAUCUAUCGGGAUUAUGCCUGCUCUACUGCCUGUCUUGCUUCCCUUUCGUGGACGCAAAACUUGCACAGUGCGCAGAGUCAUUAAUGGAAAAAAGAAAAAAGAGAGAGAUCUAUUGGGUUUUGAAGUUUGAUUGAAUUGAAUCUGUUGUUGGUGGAAAAAUUAUGAUUAGUGAAGAUUAUUGCCACAUAGAGAGAUAUAUUAAGGAAUAAUGAUGAAUGUGUACUAUUAGUAGUAGUAAUGUAUCAUAAAGAGGGUAAAGCUUGUUAGGUGCUUUUUCUAUUAAUAACCCUUUGUAAUGUUCACACUUCAUAUAUCACUAUAUUAAGGUUGUAUUUUUUAUGAUUGAGUCACUAUUGUUGUUGUUAACUUGCUUCUUAUAAUAAUAUAAUAUAAUCAUAUUAAUAUUGACUAAGUUCUCCAUUUAAUAAUUUUAUUUUAUUUUAAAUUUAUUUAGUGACCCUCUUGCUAUGAUGCUUUGUAUGAUUUUAUUGUUUUAUAUGUAUCCUGAAAUCAGUGAUUUAUUUGACUAAAAUUGAGAUGGUGUACAAUUUUGGCACUUGCUCAAUGAUAGUUGAGUAGACAAAGUUGAAUUCAUAUUAAUAAUAAUUCAACAUUAUAAUAGUAAGUCUUGAUUGAACUUAGACAUACUGAUGCAUUGCAUGUAAUUAAUCUUUCAAUCAGUGGGUUUGUGCGUAAGCAUAAAUUUUAUACAACUUUUCUAACUAAUGUUUGCGUAUAUAGCAUAUUAAUUGUUGUCUUUACUUUCCAUUAAGUUUCCACUACACUAACCAACACAGUGUAACACAAGUAGUAGAUAGUUAAACUCCAUAAUUAUUUAGUUCAGGGUUCGAUUUCUGACCAAUAUAUAUAUAGAUAAGUACUUAUUAGAAGAUGUCAAACUCUUAAAUAAAUCUUAAUUAACUGUGAAAAUAUAUUUCUGUUUGUGUAGGGAGGGUUCAAGUAAUGACUAGAGAUACGUAUCUUAUUGGAAGGAAAAGACCAAAAGUGAACAGUAAAAGAAAGGGACAGGUGCUGUGGAGAGUUGGCCAUGGCACCCCCAAUUUGUGAUCUUGUCAUACUAGUUUUUAGUUUUUUAUUUAUCAACUAAGGAAGAAAUUCCUUGAAAUAGGAAACACAUAAACAUCUACGGAUGCUUGUUGUGUCUAUUAUAUUUUGUGAUAUUUCUAACUUCAAUUAAUUUGAAUCAUUAUGUUUCCAGCUAUUUACUUGUCUCUUUACUUAUGCCUAACACUGUGUGACCUACCCCAACCAAAAUUACUUCAUGUUUUAACUGUGUGAAUUUAGUUGAAUCAUUUUUGUGUCACUGUAAUUUUUAUAAAAAUUAUACUUUAUAACUUUUAACAAAAAUUAAGGUGGCAAUGUGAUUUCAAAUAUACACUUAGAAUCGGUCUCUUGCAUUACAAAAUAUGCCACCUAACCUAACUAUAUUAUUAAGAAAACUUUUGAUAUAAGGAGUCAAACUAGAGUUUUGUUACCACUUGUUGAAAAGUCUGAAGGGUGCAAAGGUCACGAGCAAUAACGGUUAAAAGGUUAAUACUACCUAAAAUAUUUGACAUUAUGUCUUCAUUUAAAAAUUUUGUAUUAAAUACACAAGUCACCCCUUUUUCACCCUUAAAUUAUUGUUAUGUGGCCUGCAAACACAAGUACAAUCAUGUUACCCUUUUUUAAUAAACAAAAAAUUGGCUACGGGGGAUUGAUGUUUGAAAACAGUUUGAAACUCCAACAACGAUCGACAUUGUUUCUCGUAAAUAAGAAUUCAUAGUAUUACCGUCUUCACAAUUAAGAAAGUGAUUCGAUCGACAUUUGUUAGACAAUAAAAUAAAAAUAUUAUUUAAAAGACGUAAAUAACUAUCUCACUAUCUCAACAUUAAAUCAAUACCGAUUAAGUCACUAUCUCACUCAUACAUACAUACAUACAUACAUACAUACAUACAUACAUACAUACAUAAAUAACUCUAAAUUUUUACUUAAAGACGACAAGGACGACAUAAACCACAUGUAUAGCACUUCUCUACUCAAUCAAUUGGCCGUGUAGAUUCUAGAUUCUAUAAAGUGAUUUGACACUGAAAUUGUAGAUCACACUUUAGCAAUAAGUGUGGGUGUGCACCAUUUGUAGGUGCUUCUCUUAAGGAAAUACUACAUUUUAGUUCCAACACUUUUCUAUUUUCAUCUUAAUAUUAGUUUGCCUUUGGAAAGACAAAGAUCAUAAGCUUAACUUGAGAGAGAGCUAAAUUGACAGCAAAGAAACUGAAAGUAAAAAAGUUACAUAGAACUUUGUACUAAAGCUGUUACACCAAGUUCUUGGAAAGUAAUUGAAAGUCAUGUUUUUUAGUUAUAUAUCUUAGAUGAGUGCGCUGAUUUCGCACGUGCAAUGCAAUGAACUAAGUUUACUGAGCCACUGGUUUUUGAACAUGUAAAUAUGGUUUGCAUAUGCCAUGUUAUGUUAAUUAAGUCAUGACUUCUUUUAAGCUGAAUCUCAUUAAAUUAAUACAGUCAUUGAGCAUGUGGUUUAGUCACAUGGAGAGGUAAUUAAAUUUCACUUUAAAAUAUGACUUAAACAUACUAUUGUGAAAAAAUUGAAAUAGCAACAAAAAUUUAGAGACGUCAAAUUUGAUGAUCAAUUUUAUUUUUAUGUAUGUAUGGAAUUUUCAUCGUUAUUUUAACUUUUUAAUAAAAUUGGAAGAUAAAUUAAUAUGUAUGUUAAAUAAUUGAGGAGCCACUAAGGUGUACGUACUCUGUACAAAAAUGGACCACAAAUCAUUGCAGCAAAUACAAAAUUAAAAGUCAUACGUUCAAAACGCUCCAUUGCAGCAAAGCCUGGCACCAAUUUUUUUUUUUUAAAACUGUACUAUAGUCCCACAGUCUAUUAGCAAGGACCACAAUUAAAGGCCAACAAAUUUUUAGGUAAAUUCUAAUAUGGACCACUUCAUCAAGUGGUUCAUGGUGGACCAGUCAUGAAUAACAUUAUAACGAAUACGAAUUUUAUAAAAUUCACCGUUGGAUUGAAAGUUUAUAUCAUAUAGAUCAUCCAUAGAAAAAUUUAGAAAAAUUGAAAAUCAUUUGAUACGUUAUUGAGAUACAUCAAGGCGGUUUAUUAAAUAACGUAAAUCUUGAUGGGUCUCAAUAACAUAUCAAAUGAUUUUCAAAAAAAUUUAAAAAAUUUAUGGAUGAUCUAUACGAUAUAAACUUUCAAUCCAACACUAAAUUUCAUAAAAUUCAUAUUCGGUAGAUCACUUGUCCACGGUAGACCACUUGUGAAGGUGGUCCACCGUAGCAUUAGCCCAAAUUUCUAUAUAGCCGAAACCAACACAAAAAUUUACAUCCGGAUGAUUUGAAACUAAAACCUAGAAAAGAGCAUGCUCUAAAGUCUCAAACCUUUACUAUCGGGCUAAUCGCCUAAUCCCUCGUUAACAUUGAAAUGACUUAAUUGUUUACUAGGUAUAAGUUAUUUUAUUUCUAUAUUAUUGUAUGCUCUGUGGAAUUUUUGUUAGAAAAGUAUAAAAGGAGGAUGUAGAGGCUUCUAAUAGAAAAGGCUGCUUUGCUUGCUCAUAGAUAUAGGAAAAGUUUAAGCACGCCAAUUUGUACCCUUAAAGUCGUUUUAAUAACAUUACAUGUAGUAUAAAGAAAAGUAUAUAUAUAUCAGCAGCUUGUAUUUGACUCCAAUUAUAAACACUUUGUUAUAUAUAUAUAUAUCGGUAAUUCAAGUGUUUGAGUCUCAUACCGGAUGAAAACGUAUAUGUUGAAUAAUACUUUAUAAGUGAGAGAACCUAUUGACCUAAUGCAUUAAAGUUGUUCAAAACCCGAUGUGAUGAUUUUCAAAUCCCUUUAUGACCCAACUGUGAUAUGAGAGCCUGGUUGAACUGGCUCCAACCGACUCCUUAUGUCAAAAGUUUUUCCGAUGUGAUAAUCCCAGACCCAACACAACAAAACCUUUUUAUAGAUCUUGAACUCUCCUAAGACACGUGAACUAAUAAAAUCAUAUACUUUGUUAAAUAAAUUCAUUUGGAGUUUGGAGAGUUAAGAAGUAAUGAAAAAACUGAUGUCACAAAUUAAAGUGAGUUACUCUACUUAAGGUAUAAGCAACAAAACUAGAUUCUAUCAUAUGUAUAAUUUUCAUUUAAGACUAUGAAAAAGUAAAAUGUGACAUCUUAUUAUUCAAAAAGAGAAAGAAACAUAUAAAGAAUUUAUAUAAAAUCAAUUUGAACUGUGAGAGAGCACAUUUUACUCUCUUGUGUGAAAAUUACACGGGACGUGAUCAAUUUUCAUAGUCGGGACACAGUUUAUUUGUGUUUAACAGAUUCAACUAAAAAUUGUUUUCAAUGAUAAAAAAGAAGAAUAUACUUAAAUAAUUGAACUAAACACUCGAAAUCUUCUUUUAAAAAUUACACAAGUAGAUUUUAAUGGUGAGCUAACAAACAUAAGAGGUCAUGUUGAAUUGAGAAAUGCUAUUUUGACAUCAAAAAAUUGAUGUCCAAUCUUUGACUUUUAUGUGUAUUUUUUAAAAUGUAUUUAAUUAUUAAAAUAUGAAAAGUAAAAUAGAGAUAGAAAUUAUAAACAUAUAUUGUGUUACAUACAUUGUCUCUUUAUCUUAAUGUUCAAAUAAAAUAAUAUUGUACUUCAUAUUUAAGAGUCCAAUUAAAAAAUCACACCAGCCCAAUAUUUUUUAUUGUAACAUAAGAAAACAACACUAGUUUGAACAAAAAAAAAACAUAAACAACUAUACCCCUAUAACAUCUUCCCUAAUGAGAACUAAUCCCAAUCUUUUGAAUGCUUGAUUAAACUAGAUUGGGAAAUUAUGAUAAGUCCAAAUGCAUGAAAACUUGAAAAGGCUAUAGUCAAGUGGCAAAAUAGGCUCCAACCCAACAUUAAAAUAAGCAAUAUGACAUAUAUAUAAAAACAUUAAAACUUCUCUCAUGCAUUAUAUGAUGUUAAGGUGAAAUUUUGUUAUCUUGCUCUCAAUAGUUGCUUGGUGUCCUAUCAACAGAAUUUCCUAUCCUCAACAUGUAAGAUAUUUAACAAAUUUUGUAUGUAUAUAAUAUAACCGUGUAUAUGUACAACACAACAUUUUCUCCAAUAUCUUUUAAUUAUAAAAAAUAAGUUCGUUUCCCCUACCUAUAUAUGUCUAAUUAAGAUUCCAACACUUUAACACUUCUACGUCUUAAACAACGAGAACAAAUGAUAACAUUAUAAAAUGCCAGAUAUUUUUUUUGAUUCAGUACACGUCUUUUUUUAAUUUUAUAGAUAGCAAGUACAUGCACAUGUCAUUGUAUGGUACGUAUUCUUCCACAAAAUACAAACCAUGUUAGGGGUCUAUUGAAGGGUUAUCAAAGCUUCGAUAACAACCCAAAAAUAAUAAAACAAGUGUUAUCAUGAUUCAUCAAGUACUUACGCAACUACUCUCAGAAAAAAAUAAUAAAAGAGUACGUACGCAACUUAUUUUUUUUUUUUAAGCUCUCUUUAAUUCGAGAGUUAUAUUGAGGGGAGAACUUUGGAAAAAAACGGGGGAUGAAAUUAAGGAAAAUGAAAGGAAGGUUGGUCCCUAAGUUGAAUAAAGAGUUUCUUUUUUCACGGUGAUAUUUUUUUUUUUCUCUUUAGUUAUCAUGUUACAAAUAUGAAGUUUUAAGUUUAGCAAGGGUGUAGUCUAUUCUAUGUCUAGUCACAAUGUCUUUGAGUCAAUUCCUCGCUGUAUUGAUAACUAUUUGAUUAAUGAAAUGCAUUGAGUUUCUUUUUGUCAAAAAUAGAAAAAUGCAGUUGAAUGGUGACAAAUUUAUAUAUUAUUUUUUUAGUUAUCAUGUUAUAAGUGUCAAGUUUCAACCGCUACUUAACGGUGACUAAUCACCGUCAAAGAACCUCCAAUAAAAUUAAUAUUUUCUAUCUCUGACUACUUGGUUAAAGUAGGGAUGGCAAUGGGCGCCCACGGGUGCGGGUUUGAGUGAUACCAAACCCACACCCGAAAUCAACACCCAAACCCAAACCCAAACCCAAAUCUGUUCGGGUGGCAAAACCACACCCACGCCCACACCCAUUGGGUUCGGGUUUUUUACACCCAAACCCAAACCCACAACACAUUUUGUACUACUUUACAAAUUUAAGCAAAAACAAUGGAAUUUAAACAUAUUGUCAAUCACUUAGCAAAAACAUAGGUUUAAAAUUACAAGGGAAUUUAAAAUUACAAAAUAGUCUUUCAAGAAAUUAAAUUACAACUAAACCAAAAUNNNNNNNNCCAAACCCACACCCAUAUUUUCGGGUGUCACCCAAACCCAAACCCAAACCCAGUCAAUUCGGGUUUCGCCCGUUGACUUGGGUUUGGGUUCGGGUGGGUCUCACGGGUUUGGGUUUUUCUGCCAUCCCUAG
rnacentral:lncRNA from 1 species